GAUUUGGACACCUAGAUAAUUUAAUCUCCUGAAGAUGGCUGAGCUUGUCUAAUCCCCGGGGUAAUGAUUUAAUUUUUUCAGCACCAUGAAUGUCAAUGCUUUCGAGAUCAGUGGUUUCAAGGAAGUCUUGGGCUAUGCAUUCCAACAUUGGACAAUCCGCGAUAAAUAGCUUUUUAAGCAUUACGGGUAACUUGGAAUUUAAAAAUAACCUACUUAGCUUUGAACUUCUUCGAAUUUGGAGAUGUUGAAGCCGAUUGCAUAUAUCGCCCCUUGAUGAUAACCAUAUUAGAGAUGGACAGUAGCCUAUUUCCAAGCGCUCAAGCAGACAAGUGUUGCUACUCAUACUCUUAUUAUUAUUUUCUUUUUCAUCAACCAAAUAUUGCAAAUUCAUGCAAUAACCAAUCCUCAGCUCUUUUAAAGCAGGAGGAAAGUUACUCUCUGCAAAACAAACCAAGCCUGGACACUCUUCAAGUACUAUUCUUGUAAUGAAUGGGAAAGCAUGUAAGGCUUCUGGUAGUCUAUUGAGCUUUUCACAAUCAUUUAUGUCCAGAUAUUCAACACCUGGAAUCUGGUCAAGUUGCAAUCUCUCCUCCUCUGUUUCCAAAGAGACCAAUUGGGGACAACCCGCAAUCGUAAUAAUACGAUGCCCGACUAAUCUUAAUCCAAUUUGCGAUAAAGAUCCCAACUCCUUCCAACGACGGAUCUUGAAUCUUUCAGAGUUUGCAAAUCUCAACAUUAUCCUCUCUGCUGAAAUAUUAAACUUUGAAAUAUUUGAAAGAGACAAAUUUCAAAUAGGUAACCUUCUGUGCAGACAAAGAACCUUCAUCCACCAAUUCUUCACACCCAUUAACGCUUAAUUCACACAGCAAGGGAAAACUUGAAAUUGAAACUACCAGUCUAUUACACUUAUAGAUUUUAAGUGUCUGCAAGGAUUGAAGGAUGGUUGGCAACCUUCCCAGCAAUAGAGGACAUUCUCUGAUUGAAAGAAAAUGAAGGCUGGGGAAUUUUGAUACUUGCUCAUCGUCUUCACAUAGGUCCCACUCCUCCCAAUUCAGCAUAUUGCCAAAACGCAGAGACUCUAAUGAUGCAAAAGCAUUUGAUUGAUUUUCUCCAAACAACUCAGCACCAAUCUUAUGUACUUGAUCCAAGCCACUAAUUGAAAGAUAUUUUAACAACAACAACCUUCCAAUCGAUGGUAGAGAUUUGCAAUUUUUACAAUUGUGAAGCUCCAAUGACAACAUAUUUUUGAAGGAAGGAUCCGCAAUCCAAGUAGAGAAUUUUGCACCACCAUAAUUCUCAAUGACGAGUUGCUCAAGCUUUUUUGGAGGACAAAGAGAGUCCAACACCCAUUCUUCAACUUCUUUAUUCCUUGAAGCAUUUUCAAACUUUUUCCUCCAAUGCAAUACCAGUCGAUCAAUCCCCUGCUUCUCAUAUAACUUGCUUUCCCCUGCAUCUUCACCAUUAACAUUCUCCAACCCAGAAAGACGGAAAUCACCUUCGAGGUUUGACAAAUAUUUCAAAUAUCUAAUAUGACAACCAUCACCUUCCGCUAUGAUAAAAUCAGAUAACCUUUGAAGAUUUGUUAGCUUAUCAAUUCUGAAAGGAAUCCUUUCUAUUAAGUCAGCACCUCUGAUAUCAAGAUAAUGCAAGUUGACAAGAUUUUCCAUCUUUGAAGGUAACCUUUGAAGCUUCCAACACCGUCUCAAUAAUAAAGUUUCCAAAUGGUAAAGAGUGCACAAAGAAUCAGGUAAGCAUUUGAUAGGGGUGUUGGAAAAAUUCAAGUAGCGAAGAUGUUUCAAAUUUUCAAAAACAUCAGGCAACUCAGUGAUUUUAUACCCACUCAAAGAAAGCAUCCUUAAGUGACCAAGUCUUGGUAACAAAUCAACCAAAACAACAUUGGUUAAAAAGGGCCCCGGAUAAGCACUCGAAAACAUUAAGGGUAAAAAAGUACGUAAAGAAUUCACUUGAUCAAAUGCUUCGAACUUCUUCACUGUGUCAUAAUCACUGACAAUAUAAGAAGAAUGUCGAGUGCGAUUUGAGAACUUCCAUUUCUUAUCACCCUCUAAUUUUGAGCAUAUUUCCCCUGCAACUACUUGAGCUAAAUCAUUGAUAAGGUCAUGCAUUACGAAUCGAGACUUAUCUUUACCGGAUGUCUGAAAAAAUGACCUGGACACUAGAUCUUGAAAAUAUUGAUUUCCGAGAUCUUUAAUUUGAGGCAUAGCUUUUUGUUGCAAGAGACCUUCUGCUCUCCAUAACAAGAUAAUUUCUUCUUCCUCAAAUUCAUAAUCUUUAGGAAGUAUGGAGCAAUAUGCAAAACAUCGUUUCAAGUAUGACGAAAGAUGAUGGUAGCUUAAUCGCAAAGCUGGAAUUAUGCCACACUGCUCUUCUGGUAAGUUCCAUAUCUCACUCUCAUAUAUUCUUUCCCAUUUUCCAUGAUAUUCAACCGUGCGAAGCAUGCUUCCAAUGGCUUUUGCAGCCAAAGGUAAGCCAUUGCACCUUCUAACAAUUUUCUCUCCAAUUUCUUUAAACUGGAGAUGUCCAUCGAAAUUUCUUGCUUUUAAUGCAUGCUGUGUAAAUAUGGAUAAACAAUCAUCAUCCGAUAGUUUAUCCAAAUGAAAAGCUUUGAGCGGAUCCACAAUAGAUGAAACAAUUUGAAGACGAGUGGUUACAAUGAUAUGGGUCCCUGCUCCAAACGGAGACCGUAAGAUGGUCCAAUCAUUAUAAUUCUCGUUCCAAAUGUCAUCUAAAACAAGCAAGAAUCUUUUCCCAGACAACUUCUCCUUCAACUUAACUUGAAGUAAAUUCAAGUCAUUCUCGUCACGAGAGUCAGGAUCGAUGGAUUUUAAAAUUGUCCUGGUUAUAUAAACUGCAGUCAAAAUGAUCAGAAACGCAUACCCAGGCCUUGUGGUGAAAGGACUGGUUGAUGGUGGCAUCAUUGUAAACAAGCUGAGCAAGAGUUGUUUUACCCAUCCCUCCCAUGCCGACGAUGGAAAGGACUGAAACUCCGUUGGAGUUAUCACCUUUGAGAAACUCAAUCAUUUCUGUCUUCUCCUUGUGUCUGCCAACAUACUCCACAACUCCAUCCAGUAAGGAAGUUGGUUGCAGCCUGGGUUGCUUUCCCUUGGAGGUUGCAGCUUGAGACAAAAUCUCAUUCAACCCCAAACUACUUCUUCGUGUAGUCAAACUAUUCAGUGUAUCAGUGAUGUCUUUCACCUUCGUGAUCAUGGAAUUCUUAAACUGAAAAGAAGUGGGAGGCAAAAUACUACGAAUAAUCCUUUCAGGAAUGAAUUUCCGUAUCUUACUAGGUCUGGCUUGAGCUUGAGUGUCUUGGAGAUUGAGGCGUAACUCUUCAUAAGCGAACUCGUCCAGGAUGUCAUCCACAUCGUAAGCCAAGUCCUGGAGAUCCUCCAACCAUUUCUUCACACCCAUGUUCUUGAUCUGCUUCUCCUCUGCAUCGUCCAACACUGCUUGGAUAUCAGGCAAUAUGGACUGCCACUGCUUGAGCUGCUCGUGGAGUUGGUAGUGAUCAGCAACAAAGUUGAGUGCAGAGUCAAGCGAUUUGCCCACCAACAGGUCCAGGAACCCAGAAAGAGCAGCCUCUCCAAUGACAGACAUGGUGGAAUUGUGAGAAAUAAGGUGACAAGAGAAAUGAGCAAAGACAAAAUGGAAAGUCAGGAACAAAAAAGAAAGAAAGGGAAAUGGAAUAUGCAAAAUUAGAGAAAGUUGAAGAAAUUAGCACAAUAUCCUUGAAGCAUGUAAUAUAAUAAUUCAGACUAUGAAGCAAUGAGUUGGAAGUCAUUGGGUACAGAUAAAGAAGCUGCUUUUCGUGUUAAUGGGAAAUGAUGGGACCUUUGCUUUUGAAUUUUGAUGCUCUUCUUUUCACUUGCUUUUGGUCUUUGCUUUUGCUUUUUGCUCUUCUUUUCACAACUUUGUCGCCAAAAUAUAGCAAACACCAAUACUCAAAAUUUUUGAAUCACAAAUAUUUACAGUAUUUAGCAUAUAAAAAAAUCAGAAAUUAAAUGAUAAUUUUUACUUUUUUAUAAUUUUAAUAGUAUAUAUCUUUAUAAAAUUUAAAAAAUUAAAUAAUAUUUUUAUCAUUUUUAAGGGAGUAAAGUAUAAUUUUAUAUUUAUUAAUUUAAAAUUUUAAAAUAUUUAAAUAGCCUAAAUGAAAGUUUUUCUAUUUUAGAGGACUUUGUCAACCCCUAAUUACGCCCGAGAUUGAUUGUAGUUAUAUUGUUAAUUGACUUACUAUUUUACUAUUUAUACUAUUAUUUAAGUUUAUGACUAGUUGAUGUUAAGAGUUUAUCGAGUAUCAACUUAGUUAAAGAAAAUAUGAAAAUGUCACUCUAGUCUUUUUAUGAUAAAAAAAUAAAAAUAUGUGCAUAUAAUGGGAUUUUGAACCCAUACUAAUUACAUUAAUAAAAUUAUUAAUUUACCACUCAACUAAAAUUUUAAUUUUUUUAUACAUUUUAAUUUUAUUGUACACACUUUAUUGUUAAUUAAUUUCAAACCUUAUGCUUUAAUUAUUUAUUGUAUGUUAUAUUCUAAAUAUAUGAUUUCCAAACAUACGUGUGUGAUAAGUAUACUAAUUAUAACCUAUAUUACUAAUUGUUGUACUAAUUUAUGAUUUGCUUUCUUACUAGAUCCGUUAGCCAAAUUCAAAUUACCUUCCUUUUAGAUCAAUUAAUUGACUUAAACCUAACUCAAUUAUAUUUCUUUCUAGAGUUAUUAACCAAAAUAAUCGACCGAACCGAUUAAACGAGAUUGUUUCUAUUAUUAUAUUUAUGAAAUCAUGAUCGUUUAGUUAUUGGUAUAUUUUUGUUGGGGUUAGGUUAAUUUAAUUUUCAAUUUUCUAAACUAAAAUUUACAUCUAGAUUUGAUGAUGAUUGCUUGUCCACAGUUCAUGGGUUUCAAUUAUACCAACCUAUUCUAUCUUCUUUUUUCCCUAAUGCAUGUGAGAUCUCUUUUUCUUUUCCUUAGCAAAGUAUUUAGGGUCUCUCUUUUUUGGUCAAAGUAAUCUUUAUCUUUAAUAAAAUAAUUUAAAAACCCUAAUCACUUCUCCAUAAUUGAUGGAACUUACAAGUAUAAUUAACAAAAAUAAAAAUACAAUUAUAAAUAAUUUAUGUCUCACCAAUUAUAACUAGAAUCAACUUAAUAUAGAAUACAAUAAGACUAAAAUCUAAUUAAAUACAAACAAAUAACAUUAAGAGUGAAAUAUAGGAAAGAACCCACACAUAAUAUUUACGUAUUAUGAAACUCAAACUUGGGCUCUCGAGGCCCAACAAAUCUCAUUGGCUCAUAAGCAAAUAUUUUAAUGUAUCACAAAUUCAUUACUGAAUCAGUACUCUAGAAAUUAGUUAUUCUUAAGUUGAAAGAUUUGUAUGUAUAACAAAUUUAUAUAGUUUUAGAGAAGAAGAUGGAAGAUGGCCAAAUAGAAAGGGCCAUUGCAAGGAUGAUAGUGAAGUUCCAGUUCCUACUGAGUUUCUGGUAUUAAAGAUGAUAGACAAUGUGGAAGGGAAACUAUUGAACUGGUCAUAUUGAAGAAAUAGUAGGGUGAUUAUAACCAAAGUGUAUUAAGGGUGGGACCUUGGCUUUUGAAUUUGAUGAAAUCUCUCUGCCAUUUCUGAAAUUCCAAUUUUCCUUUAAGGAAAACGAUGACGACGAUGCCAAUCUAAUUCCCAUUCAAUUAAACCCUGAUCUCGAUCACAAUGCCAUCUAAUGCCUAUAUAUCAAGUUAUUAUUUCCAUUCACUUUAAAGCCUAUUGUAGUUUUGGUUCAAUUUAAUAUUGCCAUUAAACAUCAUGAUUAAUUGACACAAUAUAGCAACCACACACGUCCUACUUUCUUUUGGGGUUGAAAACAUCACUGUAAAUGCAAAAGGAGAGAAGGUGAAGCCUUUCAAAUUCUCCACAUGCCAAAUGGUGCUGACAUGUCAGAUGGGCUGAUGUGGCAUACUAUGUUAGAAAAAUUAUAAAAAUAUUUUAAAAUUAAUAAAACAUAUAUAUACAUUUAGAAUGAAUCUGGACAUAUGGUUAUCCAAAUUCAAAUGAAUUUGGACAAAACAAAUAUAGCCUUUAUACCAAAGCAAUUAGUUUUAUAUUAGAGGUAUUAGAGUUUAGGUUCUAUUUUGUUAAUCUACUUAUACAUGUUAUCUAAUAUGUUAAUUUUGUCUCAAAUUUGAAAAUAAUUGGUGCUCAAAAUGAUUCAAAUCCAAGAUGACAUAAAUUUGAGAUGACCCUAUUUGAAAAACUUAUAUGGUCGUAAUCCAAAAUGGCUCAAACAUGAAACAACUUAAACCCAAAAUUGACCCGAACCAUAAUGACUCUCUAUUUAUAGCAGUAACAGAAAGGAAAAAUAGUAAAUAUGAAAGGGAAAAAGAGUAAAAAUCGUAGGGUUACCAUUUCCGUGCAACAGUAAAAAAUAUAUUUUGUUGCCAAAAUUUUCGCAACUGUCAAAAAUCGAAAAAUGUUUUAAAGAAAUUAUUUUUUGAAAAAUAAUAUUGAUUAAAAUUAGAGAUAAAUUAUGGACGAAAAUAUUGAAUUAUUUCAAAUGAUGAAGAGCAACUUUAAUAAUGUAGAGGGACUGGGUCGGUGUACCGAGGAUGAUACUUCGAAGGCUACUCUCAGAAGAGUCGAUCUGUAGCUCAAGUGGUACCAUAUACCUCAACAAUUGACCUAUAUUCAAUAGGUUAAGGGUUCGAAUCUCAUCAAGGGUGAGACUCUCAUGUCGCCUCUUAGUGGUGAUUGCAAGUCCACAUACGGUCAAGGCACCCCUUUUUGUGAGUAGUACAUGGCUCUCCACGGAGUGGGGGACAAAACCCUCUCACAGGGGAUAAUACCUUCUGUUAUUGAGACACUGGAUCGGCAUCCUCAAAGACGGCACUUCAAAAACUUCUCUCGAAUAAGCCGUCCCCAUUAACAAAUAAAUAAUUACUCUACACAACCCUAUUCUAUCUUUUAAAAUUAUUAUUUUGUCCCUUAAGAUAUCCAUUAAUCUUUUUAUGUAUUUCUAAUAUACAUGCUAUAUAUAUAGUAAAAUGAUAUAUAUAUAAUCUACACUAAAUAUGAGAAGAUUAUAAAUAUAAUAAUCUAUAAUUACUAAUGAAAAUUUUGGUUUGUACCGUUCACAUUGGCCGGAACAUGGUACACCUACUACUGCUGCAUGAAUAAUGUUAAAAAAUAUAAAUAGUUUAACUAUUUUCUAUUAGACUAAAUAUUUAAUUGAAAUGUAUUGACCAAUAAAAAAAAUAUUACACUAGAAAGUAAAAUUUAACAUUUUAAAUUUUUUUUGGAGCAUACUUUUUCAUUUAAAAUAUAAAAAUUAAAAUAUAAUAGAAAAAAAACCGACUCACCUCAUUAUCAUACAGCUUUUCUUAUUGAAAAAACCCCCACAUCCUUCAAUUUCUUUUUUUCUUCUUAAUUUUGAAUUUAUUGAAUGAUGAGUUUUUACUUGUCGAGUUUAUUAAUCAAUAUUUUAUGUAAUUGAUUAAUAGUUUUAUAUUAGAAAUUUAUUUAUAAUAAUUUAUUUGAUAUUUGUAUAUUUAUUUAUAUAAAUAUAUUAAACAUUUUAGAAAAUAUCAAUAAAUUCAAAAUGGUAUAUAAAAUAGACCAGUACCAAUACAUACCAGUUCUCAUAGAAAAGUGGUGCUUCCACCAAUGUGGUAAUGGCUACCUUGAAAGCAACUAUGUGGCAUAGUUAUUUGCAAAGAAAUGGGUUAAAGCAUGUUAAGUUAGUAUUGUGCUGAUCUUUGAGUGUAACCAUUGGGAUAUAUAUGGCUAUCUGAAUUUUUAUGAUUUGCUAUGCAUUGAUUGUGGUUGUUUUAGAUUGAGAAAAAAAAUAAAAAAUUCGAAACACAAAAAAGAAAGUAGAGAAAGUAAACCCAAUGAUAUACGUGGUUCGGGAAUAUUCCAUACAUCCACGGGCAGAACUAAAAACGAAAUUGACUACUAAAAAUUAGAGAUUACAAUGGAAUUACAUCAUAAAAUAAAAUACCUCGCCAAUAACUAUCCACAAACUUUGAAUGGAUUCAUGGUCUGAGAAAUUCGGAAAACUAAGAUGGACAUCUUUGAGAUUGGACAGAACAAUACUUUGGGAACUCUGUCGUCAUACAUGUGUUAAUUUGAGCUCUCUAAUGCCAUGUUGUAACGUGUACUGUAUCCCUCCAUUAAUCCUGGAAGGAUCAAACUAUCACGUAAAAGACUUGUUCUUUUGAAAAACCAUUGGUUAAUAGUACUACGAAAUGUCAAAUAUUUUUAACUAAAAUCCCAUUCUCAUAUACCAAAAUAGGUUAGAAAUUAGAAGAUGCAAAUGAAAACAGAACAUUCAAUUUGCUGAAUAAAUGUUGCAGAGAAUUGACUAACCGCUUUACUAAAUCAAAUAAGCUGAAGCAGAUGAGUUGAAGUUCACUAUUUUCUGCCAAUUUAGCCUUCAAUGCCUGCAAAAAUUGAAUACAAAAUAUCUAAGACUCAUUUAUGUUACCAUGUUGUUCAUGAGGACAAUCAGAUAUAUAUAAAAAAAAGUUAUGAAAUUUAUAAAUGUUUAAAAUGCGGUUUCACACCUGUGGUUUGAGUGUAGAGAAAUCGAUACCAGAUUUUGCUGCUUAAAUUUCAAUACCUCGGGAUGACUAAUUCAAAAUCAAUUUGAACAAAAGGUAUGUGGGAAAUCUUGGACCACUCUUGUCCUUUACCCCUACUGCACCCUUCUAGCAACGGGCAACGCUGAAUAUCAAGACGCUCAAGCGAGAGAAGCUCAUUAAAUUUAUAUAUUUUUUAAAUCACUUCAAAAUAUAUAGAAAACUUAAAGUACAUACAAUAUCAGUUAAAAACAUUAAUUUUUAUUUAUUUUGAGGUGAUAUAAUAAAAAAAAUACAAAUUUAAAAGCUAAUUAUUUUUCAUAAAGUUAGAUAGCUAAAUCUUUAUGUAUUUCUUUUACGAGACCAAAGUGGAUUAAAGUGUCUGUAACUCUAAAAUGAAUGUACCUUCUUAUGGCUUCAUGCACUAUUAGUCAGAAUGCAUCAAACACAAAUCUUAAGAUUAAAUUAAAUUCUGUAAAAUACUAAUACAAAUAAAAAUAUUGAAAUUCAGAAUAAAAAUACUGAUGUGACAUUAAAUUAUUGAAAAUAGAUACAAAUGUCAUUGUAUCUUUUUACAUCAUGUUUUUAUAAUAUAUGAUGUGAUCAUAAAUUAAACUCUUAAUUAUAGUGAUUAAUGUUCCAUUUUUGCAACUAAAAUCAAUAAAAAAUGAAAUUUAAUAAAUUGUAUUUUUUAUUGGAAAACAUCUUUAUAUUAAUUAAUUAUGAGAACACCUUUUUUAUGGAGAAGUGUUUGAUAAUAGGCCCAAUUGAUAUAUUUAUUGGGCUUAAUUUUGAUAAGUUCUUUAAUAAGAUGUGAUUAAUUUUAGAUUUAUUAUUUGAUUUCUGAUUUGGUGUAAAAAUAAACUCAAAAAGUGGAAAAGAAUCGGAAAUACAAGUUAUCGUAAAAGUUUUGGAUUGAAGAACUAGUUGGACCAUGAUCUAUUAUACUUUUUUAUAAAUAUUAUUUUGAGUUUUAAUAAUAUUUUUUAUGUAUAUUAUACUUUUUGGUUUUGGGCAGAAUUGGAUUGCAAAUGGAAUUUCUUUUCUUCUAUAUUUCUAAUUAUGUUCUUUCUUUUUCUCUUGUAUAAUAUUUCGCCGCCACGCCACCUUCCCAUUUUCCCCUUCUUUUAUUUAAUUCUUGUUGAAUUAUUAGGGGUGUGUAAAUUUCGGGUAAAACCGAAUUAAUUCGGUUAACGGAUUGAAUUCGGUUAAUCAAACGGUUAAUCGAAUUAAUUCAGUCAGAAGUCAAUUAAUAAUUUUUUGAAAGUUUAGUUAAUGAUUAAUUAGAUAAUUAUUGAAGUGAACAAAGACAAAAUGGAAACCCAGGGACCAAAAUAGAAAGAAAGAGAGAUGGACUCUGUAUAAUUAGUGAAAGUUGAAGAAGUUGGCACAAAGGUUUUUUUUAGCAUCCAAUAAUUCAGGCUAUCACUUGGAAGACAUUGGAUUAUAGUUUUUUAUUUUUAAAAUUUAAAAAAUUAAUUAAGUGAACGUUAAUAAAGUAAAAAAAAAAGUUACAAAUUUAAGGGCUAAAAAAUAAAAAUUUAAAUAGAGAACUAAAAUGAUUUUUUUAAAGUUAAAAAGUCAAAUAAACUAUUAUGUCUUUCUUUUAUUGAACCAAAAUGAAUUAAAGUGUCUGCAAUUCUGAAAUGGAUGGACUUAGUAUUUAGAUGCAUUAUUAUUUUUACUGGAGAUCGGGAAUAUAUGGACUUUCUAUGGGCCCAUUUAACUGAUAGAUUUUAUUACCACUUUAGCAACUUUGGCGAUUUAAUCAGUUACUCGAGAUUCGCAAUUAUUUUAUUUCUUGAUGCUAGCAAUAUACAGUGAUCAAAUAGGAUCAUUUCUUCUGAAGACCUUUUAUUUUUUUCAUCAUGUGGGAGUUUGAAUUAAUUCUCAUUUAUCUACUUCUAUCCAUGAUGGGGAAGAACCAAAUAUUGCAAAUUCAAGCAAUUCCGAAUCCACAGCUCUUUUAAAGCAGGAGGAAAGUUACUCUCUGCAAAACAAACCAAGCGUGAACAGCUUUCAAGUUGCAUGCUUGUAAUGAAUGGGAAAGCAUGUAAGGCUUCUGGUAGUCUAUUGAGCCUUUCACAAUCAUUUAUGUUCAGAUAUUCAACACCUGGAAUCUUUUCAAGUUGCAAUCUCUCCUCCUCUGUUUCCAAAGAGACCAAUUUGGGACAACCCGAAAUCCUAAUAAAACGAUGCCCGACUAAUCUUAACCCAAUUUGCGAUAAAGAUCCCAACUCCUUCCAACCAAAGAUGUAGAAUGUUUCGGGGUUUGCAAAUCUCAACAUUAUCCUCUCUGCUGAAAUAUUAAAAUUUGAAAUAUUUGAAAGAGACACAUCUUUCAAGGAGGUAACCUUCUGUACAGAUAAAGAACCUUCAUCCACCAAUUCUUCACAUCCAUUAAUUCUUAAUUCACAUAAUGAUGAAAAACUUGAAAUUGAAACUGCCAGCCUCUUACACUCACAGAUUUCAAGUGUCUGCAAGGAUUGAAGGAUGGUUGGCAACCUUCCCAACAAUACAGAACAACUUUUAAUUGAAAGCUUACGAAGGCUGGGAAAUUUCGAAACUUGCUCAUCGUCUUCACAUAGGUUCCACUCCUCCCAAUUCAGCAUAUUGUCAAAACACAGAGACUCUAAUGAUGCAAAAGCAUUUGAUUGAUUUUCUCCAAACAACUCAGCACCAAUCUUGUGUACUUGAUCCAAUCCACUAAUUGAAAGAUCUUUUAACAACAACAACCUUCCAAUCGAUGGUAGAGAUUUGCCAUUUUUACAGUCGUGAAGCUCCAAUGACAACAUAUUUUUGAAGGAAGGAUCUGCAAUCCAAGUAGAGAAUUUUGCACCACCAUAAUUAUGAAUGGCGAGAUGCUCAAGCUUUUUUGGAGGACGAAGAGAGUCCAACACCCAUUCUUCAACUUCCUUAUUCCUUGAAGCCUUUUCAAACUUUUCACUCCAAUGCAAUACCAAUCGAUGAAUCCCCUGCUUCUCAUUUAACUUGGCUUCCCCUGCAUCUUCACCAUUAACAUUCUCCAACCCAGAAAGACGGAAAUCACCUUUGAGGUUUGACAAAUAUUUCAAACCUCUAAUAUAACAACCAUCACCUUCCCCUAUUAUAAGAUCAGUUAACCUUUGAAGUUUCGUUAGCUUAUCAAUUCUAAAAGGCAUCCUUUCUAUUAAGCGGGCACCUCUGAUAUCAAGAUAAUGCAAGUUGACAAGAUUUUCCAUCUUUGAAGGUAACCUUUGAAGCUUCCAACACCGUCUCAAUAAUAAAGUUUCCAAAUGGUAAAGAGUGCACAAAGAAUCAGGUAAGCAUUUGAUAGGGGUGUUGGAAAAAUUCAAGUAGCGAAGAUGUUUUAAAUUUUCAAAAACAUCAGGCAACUCAGUGAUUUUAUACCCACUCAAAGAAAGCAUCCUUAAGUAGCCAAGUCUUGGUAACAAAUCAACCAAAACAACAUUAGUUAAAAAAGGCCCCCGAUAAUAAUCACUAGAAAACAUUAAGGGUAAAAAAGAACGUAAAGAAUUCACUUGAUCAAAUGCUUCAAACUUCUUCACUGUGUCAUAUCUUCCAGCAAUAUAAGAAGAAUGUCGAGUGCGAUUUGAGAACUUCCAUUUCUUAUCACCCUCUAAUUUUGAGCAUACUUCCCCUGCAACUACUUGAGCUAAAUCAUUGAUAAGGUCAUGCAUUACGAAGCGGGACUUAUCUUCACUGGAUGUCUGAAAAAAUGACCUGGACACUAGAUCUUGAAAAUAUUGAUUUCCGAGAUCUUUAAUUUGAGGCAUAGCUUUUUGUUGCAAGAGACCUUCUGCUUUCCAUAACAAGAUAAUUUCUUCUUCCUCAAAUUCAUAAUCUUUAGGAAGUAUGGAGCAAUAUGCAAAACAUCGUUUCAAGUAUGACGGAAGAUGAUGGUAGCUUAAUCGCAAAGCUGGAAUUAUGCCACACUGCUCUUCUGGUAAGUUCCAUAUCUCACUCUCAUAUAUUCUUUCCCAUUUUCCAUGAUAUUCAACCGUGCGAAGCAAGCUUCCAAUGGCUUUUGCAGCCAAAGGUAAGCCAUUGCACCUUCUAACAAUUUUCUCUCCAAUUUCUUUAAACUGGAGAUGUCCAUCGAAAUUUCUUGCUUUUAAUGCAUGCUGUGUAAAUAUGGAUAAACAAUCAUCAUCCGGUAGUUUAUCCAAAUGAAAAGCUUUGAGCGGAUCCACAAUAGAUGAAACAAUUUGAAGACGAGUGGUUACAAUGAUAUGGGUCCCUGCUCCAAACGGAGACCGUAAGAUGGUCCAGUCAUUAUAAUUCUCGUUCCAAAUGUCAUCUAAAACAAGCAAGAAUCUUUUCCCAGACAACUUCUCCUUUAACUUAACUUGAAGUAAAUCCAAGUUACUGUAAUCACAUGACUCAGAAGUGAUGGACUGUAAAAUUGCCUUUGUUAUAGCAAUUGCAUCAAAAUUAUCAGAAACGCAUACCCAGGCCUUGAGAUCAAAAGACUCGUUGAUGGUGGCGUCAUUGUAAACAAGCUGAGCAAGAGUUGUUUUACCCAUCCCUCCCAUGCCGACAAUGGAAAGGACUGAAACUCCGUUGGAGUUAUCACCUUUGAGAAACUCAAUCAUUUCUGUCUUCUCCUUUUGUGCCAACAUACUCCACAACACCAUCCAGUACGGAAGUUGGUUGCAGCCUAGGUUGCGUUCCCUUGGAGGUUGGAGCUUGAGACAAGAUCUCACUCAACCCCAGACUACUUCUUCUAGUAGUCAAACUAUUCAGUCGAGCAGUGAUGUCUUUCACCUUGGGAAUCAUGGAAUUCUUAAACAGGAAAGAAGUGGGAGUGAAAUUACUGCUGGUACAGCAGGUAGGAAUGAGUUUCCGUACCUUGCUAGUGCUGACUUGAGCUUGCGAUUUGUUGAGCUUGAGACUUAACUCUUCAUAAGCGAACUCAUCCAGGAUGUCAUCCACAUCGUAAGCCAAGUCCUGGAGAUCCUCCAACCUUUUCUUCACGCCCUCGUUCUUGAUCUGCUUCUCCUCUGCAUCGUCCAACACUGCUUGGAUAUCGGGCAAUAUGGACUGCCACUGCUUGAGCUGUGGGCGGAGUUGCUUAUGAUCAGCAACAAAGUUGAGCGCAGAGUCGAGCAACUUGCCCCCCAACAGCUCCAGAAACACAGACAGAGUAGCCUCUCCAAUGACAGACAUGGUGAAAUUAUGCGAAGGAAGCAGAAGAGAGAAUUGAAGAAGCCAAAUGGAAUUUCAGGAACGGAAUGGAGAUUGUGUAUAAUCAGUGAAAGUUGAAAAAAUCAGAGGAGGAGGCAGUGAGCUGAUAGUCUGAUAAAUAAAAUAGAGCCCAACUGGUUUUUGGGCAGUGAAACUAACAAAGAAGGCGGAAAAAUACAUUGGCUGAGCCGGCCACCCACGUUGUUUAUGAAUUUUGAUGCUUUUCUCCAUUAUCCCAAUUUCCAAGUAAAUGAACGUUCAGUUCCAUGGCAAUGGCAUCUAAUGUCCAUAUUUAUACUUUAAUUAACUGCCACAUUUCAGUCUUUGUUUUUGGGAAUGAAGACAAAUUCAUCCCUUUUUUUUUUUUUAAUUUCCAAAAUUUCAUCCCAUUUUAAUUCUUUUUAAAAUGUAUAUUAUUUUUAAUUUAAUAUUUUCUUUUAAUUUUUUGUAAAUUUUUUUUAUUAAAAUUUAAAUGUAUCUUUUAAUGUUUAUAUUAUAAUACUAUAUAUUUAAUUUAAUUUUAUAUAAAUUACAUUCUAUAUAUAUGAUAAAGUAGAAAAUGGGUUGGGCUUGGACAUUUUAAUUUUGAAGCCCAGCUGAUUUUAAAUAAGUUUUUUUUUUUUACUUAAACUUAUUUUUCAAGCUUUAUUCUUUUUAUUUAAACCUUUUUAUAUUUUAAGCGCAUCUAGAACAAAAGAAAAGCUUGUGGAAAGCACAUGAUUAGCAAUUAGAAUUUGUCACAUGUAAAAGUAUAAUAUAUUAUAUAUAAAUUUAAAUUUUAAAAAUAAUAUUUCAAAUAUAAAUUUUAUAUUUUUGAGAAAUAAUAAUAUUUUUAAAAAGAUGGGUAGAUUUUUUUAAUAAUUAAAAAUUAGUGAAUAAUAAUGAGUAGUUUAGUUUUUGAGAAAAAAAAUAAAGAAAUAGUUUUAAUUGAGAAAAUAAUUUUUUAAGAAGUUAGUUUAAGAGUAGUGAAAUAAUUUAAUUUAUUUUAUAAAAUGUUGAAAUGAUAUAAUAAUAUUAGAUUUUUCAUGCUUUUACUAAUUGAGUUUGUGUCACUCGAUUUGAUGUAUCAAAUUUAAUUAGACAUUUUAUCAUAGUAUAAAUAAUUAUCUUGUAAUUAUAUGUAUUCAAACUAACUUAAUUUUUAAAUCCGUCACCAAUCUUUAUAUUUUUUCUCUCUUAUAAUUAUAUUUUUACAUAAUGUUUUUAUAAUAUAUGAUAUGAUCAUAAAUUAAACUUGCAUUUUAAUAUAUGAUAUAAUUAAGUGGUUGAUGUAAAUAGUACUUAAACAAAUAACUACAUGGAUGGUGAGGAUGAGUAAAAACUUUUAAUAUCUUUUGUAUGUGGUGUAUUACUCUGUAGUAUACACUUAAUGGGUUGGCCUAUAUGAGUGUGUUGUGAGGCCGCUUCUAUGAGAUCUUUGGCAAUCUUUAGAGCACUCAUAAAAACUAGGCACGCGCAUGACCUAUUAGCACACAAUCGCAUUGAAGAAUGAAUCAUAAAUAUAAUGUGAUAAGUGAGAAAAUUAAUUUGGAAAUUAAAUAAUUAGUUCAAAAACUUAUUUCAUCAAUUAUUUAAGUAAAUCAUGUCUCAUUUGUUAAAAAAUUAUGUAUUCUCUUUAGAAAAACCUUCCUCCUACAAUCUCAAUUGAGUGUUUAAUUGGUCCGCUCUUUAGAAAAGCCUUCAAGGAUAAUGAUAUUCACGCCUCAAGUCGUGAUUCUAAUUUUCUAAACCUCCGAUUUCUUAAGAGAACGUCAAGGGCAACAACCAGUCAAAUUUUAAGUUCAAUUAAAUGAAUUCACAAACUUAUAGAGUUUAUUAUUAUUAUUUUCAAUGCAAGCUUGAAUUAUAAUCGAGCUUGAAUUAUAAGUCAAAUUUUAAUUUUGUUAUUCAAGCUUUAUCUCAAAUCAAGCUCAAGCUUUAAAAGGGAAAUUUAAUUGAGUUUGAGCUAAAUUUUAAGUAUCGAAUUUUAAGUUAGCUCAAAAUUUUCAAGUUAAGCUUUGACUUGAUUACACGGUAAGUGUAAAUCGUACAAAUAUAAAGUAUAAUAUAAUUAUAUAUGUACAAGCCCAAUUUUUGACCUGGGGCCCAACAAGCCCAAAUACAACCAAACCAAAAUUAAUUAACAAUCCAAUUACAUUCAACAACAUGCCCAAAUUCCAUUUUAACCCAAUUACAAGCCCAAACACUACAACCCAAUACCUCAGCCCAAAACCCAAAACCUAAACACCUAACAGAAACCCUAGCCCCCAAACCACUUGCUGCUGCUGCCGCCACUCCUCUACCACCUGCUCUCUGCCACCCCACAACCACCAUCACCACCUGCAAGGAAAAGAAAGAAAAGACAGAAACCAAACGAGCAGUUGAAACAGUAGAAGAAAGUAAAAAUGUAAACCGGCUAUAAAGGCCAUGAAACUAAAUGUAAUGAGGGAUUUUUUUUGAAGAUUUUUUCUUCUUCUCUUUCGGCAAAGGCCAAACAAUGUAAAAGGGGAAUUCUCUUUUUCUUUCUUUUGUAACAUUUCACAAAACAAGCAAUAUAAAAAUCAAAGGUGAUUGUCGUUUUGCAUUUUUUCUUUUCUUUUCUAUCUCCUUUUUAUUGUUGUUUACUUUUAUUUUUAUUUUUUUAAAAAACACAGUUUACAUUUGCAAAAAAAAAAAUAAAAAGAAAAAAUAUAAAGAGAAAAAAAAUACCUUUUAUGAUUCGGUGGCCGGCGCAGUGGCGCUACGGUGGUGGCCCAUGGCCGGACCUUAGGCCGGAGUUUGGACUGAAAGAGGGGAGGGGGAGAGAACUUUAAGUUUGUUUUUCUGAAAUAACAAGGCAAAUGAAAUUUUUUUAUUGAAAAUUGGCUUAAAUAGGCUACCAAAAUGACGUCGUUUUGGGUAGCCUUCUCAGGCACCAAAACGGCGCCGUUUUUCCUUGGAUCAGACCGACCCGACCCGAACCGCCUAGGAUCCGCGUGGUUCUGGAUAAAAGGGGUUAUUUGCGCCCCUGGUCCUUACACUUUUGAGGCUGUUUACAAUUGGAUCCUAUUUUGUUUUUAAUUUUUCAAUUUUGCCACAAAAUUCCAUUUUUUCUCGAUUUCGUCCUCAAUGAAGCUGUGCGUUUUAGAGGAGAAGGGAAAUUUUCCCUUCCAUCCCCUCUAUGUUAUUCGCGCAUUUAAAUCAAUCCCUUCUUUUUUAUUUAUUUCGAAUCUGCCCCAAAUUUCUGCCUUUUAAUUCGAUUUAGCCCUUUAAGCUUGCUAUUUUAUUUUUAAUUAAUUAAUAAUAAUAUUAUUAUAUUAUUAUUGAUAUUACAAUCAAAUAUUUGUACAUUAUAUAUUUAUAUUCUAUAUGUUGUAUCCUAUAUACGUAUUAAUGUAUGUUGUUAUUACAUACAUAUUUUAAAACAUAUACAUAUAUAUAUACAUAUCUAUAUUUUAUGAUCUAUGUAUAUAUGCAUGCAUUUUAUUAUCUGAAUAUACAUACAUAUUUUAGGAUAUAUAUAAGCAUACAUUUAUCCCUUUAUUAUUAUUUAUGUACAUAUUUAUGUAUUUGUAUACUUCCCUAAUAUAUAUUAUAUUUUAUACUUUAUAUUAUGUAUGUCCUAUAUAUACGUUUUAAUUUUCAUAUAUACAUACUUACAUAAUUUUUCAUCUAUAAUAAUUUGCAUAUAUUUUCCAUAUUUUCAUAAUUUUAUACAUAUAUGUACGUAUUUAUAUAUCUUUUGUAUUUUUAUGAUUGUGUUAAUUUUGUUCAUUUUUUCAUAUGUCUAUUAUUGUUUAUUUUCUUACUUUAGUUUCAUAUUAUUUGUUAUUUUGCUCGUAUGAUUAUUUUUUAUUGUUUAUUGUUUAUUUGUUUCAUUUUAUUUACAUUGCAUCAUUAUUGUUAUUUUACACCUACUUUUACUCGGAUUUAUCAAAAACGGAAAAUUUUAAAAAUGUAAGUAAUACUCGGUAUUUGGGAUCUUCGAGAGAAUUGAGCCCUAACGUAUUGGGUUCCGAUUUUCUUCGUUGAACCUAAAUAAUCGAGAUUACUCUUUUAAAAAAAAUGAUAAAAAGCUCGUUAUCAAGAAUUCAAUACGUUGUAACCUAACGCAUUGGAUGUGACACGUUGUUUUCUCGAGACGAGAAUUUUUCGAAAUAAAUGCAAUAUUUAAUGUUUAAUAUUUUGAGAAAUUGUGCCCUAACGUAUUGGGUUGCGAUUUCUUCAUUUGAUUUAAACAAUUGAAUAUUCUUUUAAACUUUAUUAUACAAUUUUUUUUAAAAUUCAAGUUUUAAACAAUAUCGGGAAUUAAAAAAAGGAUUGUGUCCUAACUUACUGGUCGUGAUCCCUUUUUAAAUCCAAGAUAAUUAAAUAUCUUUUAAAUAAGCAUUUUUUAUUCGCGUAUCGAGAAUUCGAGACAUUGUGUCCCAACUUACUGGAUAUGAUUUUUUUCUCGAAUAACGUGAAAUAUCCCCUUUUUCUUGAAAAUUUUCAACGUUUUAAUAAAAUGAUCGUAUUUUUAAAAUUCUCCAAAGUUCUCAAUUUUCGACAUUAAGACAUUAAGUAAUCAACUAGGUACCAAUUUUGGGCGUAUCGAGGGUGCUAAUCCUUCCUCGUGCGUAACCGACUCCCGAACCCGUUUUUUCUGAAUUUCGUGGACCAAACUUGUUGUUUUAAUAAAAUCAAACCGUUUAUUAAAAAUAACCACUUUUCGAGGUGAUCCAAUCACACCUCAUAAAAAAGAAUUGGUAGCGACUCCCGUUUUAUUUUUUAAAACCCAAGUCAACCCCGUUUUCCAUCUAAAAAAUGGUGUCAACAAUAUAAAUUUUGAUACUAUAAUAAUUUCAAUUUUAAAAUUUUAACACAACUAUGGUCUAGAAUGUCCCAUUAUCAAGAAGCUUAGAAAUUAGAAGAUGCAGAUGAAAACAAAUCAUUCAAUUUGCUGAAUAAAUGUUGCAGAGAAUUAAGUUAUAGCAAAUCAGUUGAAUAUAGCUUUCAGUGCCUGCAAAAUUAAAUACAAAAUAUAUACGAUUGAUUGCUAUUAUCAUCUUGUUCCUGAGGACAGUCAGAUACAUGGAACGAAAACAGCCAAUGUUUAAAACGGUUUCAUACCAGUGAUACAACAUAAGGUAUGUGGGAAAUCUUGGACCACUCUCGUCCUUUACCCCUAAAAGUGGACAUAAUUAAGAAGGAAAACUUGUCUGUGAUAGAAAAUGAGGGGCUUUAGUUAAAUUACAACUAACCAGGAUGAACUCUGUUUCUGGAUUGAAAUAUUGGAAUUGGUAAUCAGUGACUUAUUCACUAAGAACUAACUAUUCUGUCACCUUAUAUUCUUCCUAUAAUUUCAGGUUUAAUCCUGUUGAUUUAUACAUUCAGUCCACUGCAAUAUGAACCCAUGAAAACCACACUAAAUGAAACUGACUGUUUAAGGAUCCCAUUCAUAUGAUGCAGCACUGUAAUGGGUAAUUAAACUGACUGUUUAAUCCUGUUUCUGUACACUAUGCUUCUUCAAAAUCAUGCCUAGCCGAACUCUCUGACAUUGUGGACCGCAAGCGCACUCAAGGACAUAUUGUUCUUCCCAUCUUUUACCAUGUUGAUCCCUCUGAGGUUCAGCAUCUUAGUGGGGGUAUCAAGACAUUCUUUGAUAACCAUGAAUCAAAGAGGCCUGUUGAUUAAGUCUGUAAAUUAAUUGGGUGUUCUUGAGAAUGAUCUUCUUCCAUUCCUUUGUUGUAUCUCGAAAGAGUGUGUUCCACGCUACAUUCAUAAAAUGUCAUGUUUAAAAAAAUAACAAUAAAUUAAAAAUAAAAUUCACAAUAAAUUAAAAAUAAAAUUCUAACUCAUUAUUAGGGUUUAGGUUUUUUUUUUACCUAUAUUGUUUGGACUUGAGCCGAUCAAAUUAUGACAAGUUAUUCUUAGCUUAUCGUAACUAUUUAUGUAUCAUUUUUGUUUUAAUAUGAGUGUUGACACCAUUUUUUUGACGAAAACGGGUCGACUUGGGUUUUGAAAAAAAGAAACAGGAGUCGCCACCAAUCCUUUUUAAUGAGGUGUGAUUGGAUCACCUCGAAAAGUGGUUGUUUUUAAUAAACGGUUUUAAUUUUAUUAAAACAACGAUUUUGGUCCACGAAAUCUAGAAAAACGGGUUCGGGAGUCGAUUACGUACGAGGAAGGAUUAGCACCCUCGUAACGCCCAGAAAUUGGUACCUAGUUGAUUAGUCAAAGUCUUAAUAUCGAAAAUUAGAAAAUUUAAAAAUUUAAAAUACGAUCCUUUGUCUUAAAAUGACUUGUAUAAAAUAGGUUGCUUAUAUUAAAAAAAAAACUCCUACAACAAAAUUAAAAAAGGGUAUUCAAUUGUUCGAGUCAGAUGAGGAAAUCGCAACCCAAUACGUUAGGGAACAAUUUUUUAACAUUUCGAACAUUGAACAUUGCCUUAGUUGUUUUUAAGAAAAUCCUUAUCUCGAAAAAGCAACGUGUUACAUCCAAUGCGUUAGGACACGACAUAUUGAAUUCCCGAUAAUGAGCUUUUUAUUUGUAUUUUUUUUAUAAAAGAGAAAUCUCGAUUAUUUUGAUUCAACAAAGAAAAUCGAAACCCAAUACGUUAGGGCUCGAUUCUCUCGAAGAUCUCAAAUACCGAGUAUUGCUUUUAUUUUGAAAUUUUCAUUUUUUGACAAAUCUGAGUAAAAAGAUGCAACAUAACAACAAUGAUGAUAAUGUGAGUAAAAUGAUACAAGCAAGAGCUACAAAAUAAAAUAAAUACAAGGACAAACUAAUAUAGUACACAAUUGCAAGCAUAUAAGCAAUAAAAUUAAAAACAUUCUUUCAAAACAAAUAAUGAAAAUGUACAUAAAGAAAUAAACAAAGUAAAUGUAUAAAGCUAUAAAAAUAUAAAAGAUACAUAUAUGUGUAUAUACAUAAAAUUAUGAAAAUAUGAAAAAUAUAUGUAUGUACAUAUGAAUUAUAAACUAUAGAAAUCACAUACGAAAAUAUAGAUUUUUUUAAAUAUAAGAGUAUAUAUAAAUACGUAUGUGCAUAUUUAUGAAAAAAAAACAGAUACAUGUAAGUAAGUAUAUACAUAAAAACUUUAAAAUGCAAAUAUAAAUACAUUCAUGUGUAUAAAUUAUAAAAUAAUAAAAAAAGGUGUAUAUAUGCAUGUAAAUUAAAUAUGUACACAUGAAUGUAUAUAUAGAAGCAAUUAUAUUAAUAUAAUAAUAGUAAUAAUAAUAUUAAUAAUGACAACGCUAAUAAUAAUAAUAACAUUAAAAUAAUUAACUAAAAUAAUAAAAGUGCUAAAAUAUGAACUAAAUCGAAAUAAAAAUGAAAACAUUGGGCGAAUUUAGAAUAAAAAGGAUUAGAUUGCAACACGCUCAAAAAGGGGAGGGCCAAAUAGGUAAUAAACCCGAUUUUAGGCCACGCGUCCCUCCCUCAGGUGUCCAAUCGAAUUGAGGACUAAAUUAAAAAAAGGGACAAAUCCGUGGUCCAAAUUAAAGGAGGAGAAAAAACAAAUGGUCCAAAUUGAAACAGAUCGAAAAUACGGAAGGGCUUGAAGCGCAAAUAACCCCUUGAAGGCUAAAACAUGCGGACCCUGUUUGGACGGGUCGGGUCGCCCGCGGGUUGCGCUAAACGGCGCCGUUUUGGCCGAUAGGCUCGCCCUAAAACGACGUCGUUUUAGGGGCCUAUAAAAGCCCACUUUUAGAAAAAAAAAUCAUUUGCCUUUUGUUUCAGAAAAAAAAGCUUUAAGUUCUCUCUCAACCUUCCCCUUAGCCGGCCAUGGCUCCGGUCAUCGGCCACCGCACCGGCCGCCGGAUGUCGGUGACGGCGCCGCCGUCCGCGGUGGCCGGAAAACCAAAAUACUCCCUUUUGUUCCUUUUUUCGAAUAGAGCCCAGAUCUGGGGUCAAAACUACCAGAAAAACCCGGCGACAAGGGAUAAAAUCGGAAGAGACCUUUCGGUUCUUCCUCCUCACAUCCGCCGAAAUCAGGUAAGACUCUCCCCUUUAUUUUAUUUUAUUAUCUUGUUAUAUUGAUUAAAUGAAAAUGAAAAGAGAAAGAAACAAUGUAGAAAAACUGAAAUAGAACGAAAAUAAGAAAAAAAGAAGUCGGAAAAAUCACUGUAAAUCACCUUCUAAAAACCUUUUUUUAUUUCUUCCAAUUUUUUUCAAAAAAAGCCCUUUACAUGUUUUUAGUUUCGGCUUUUAUAGCGGAUUGUUUUACAUUAUUUUAUUCCUAUUUUGUUGCUUUUCUCUGUUGUUGCGUGUCCUUGCAGGUACUUUGAUGGGAGUGGUUGGUGGUGGUUGCGGCGGUGGCAGGGAGUUGGUGGCUGAAAACCCUAGGUGCGGCGCACCUAAGGUUGCUGCUACUUGCUCUUUUUUCUUUUCUGAACAUGGGCUAGGGUUAGGUAGAUUGGGUUUGGGCUUGUUGGGCUAUUUUGAUUUGGGUUAAACUGUUAAUUGAUUUAGGUUAUGGUGUUUGGGUUUUUUUGGGCUGUUUGGGUUUAAUUUGUUUUAGGUUUGGGCCCGGGAAAAAUUUGGGUCUUACAAUGAGUAUGUGUUGUUGAGUUUUAGUAUAUAGUUUCGUAUUUAUCAUUUUUUAAAAUAUUAUAUAUAUAAUAUACUCGCAAAUAUUUCUUAAUUAUAAUAUGUAAAUAUAAAUUUUAAAAUUAUUAAUUAAGUUCAAUAAUUUAAUAAAUGGUUAUAUAUUAUUUUUAAAGCAAUUAUAUAAAAAAGUAGUUAAGAAAGAAAAGGGAAAUAUUAAAAAUUCCUUUAUAGGAAUUAAUACUCACCGGUACAAGCAUAUAUUAAUUGAAAUGAAUCAAAACUCAAUGAAAUUUUAAUUGAAGUGAAACUUAAACUAUUUUAUUCUAGUUCAAUAUCGAGACAAUUCGUAAUGAUUGAUACAACCAGUAUCGAAACUACCGACUAUCAUGCUACAAAGCGAAAAGAAAAAUAAUGGAAAUCAAUCAAAUUACAACUCAACUUACUUUCAUGCUUAAAAAAAGAAAACAGUUCUAAAAAAUAAUCAUCCAAGAAAAUAAAUAUAUAUAAGUUUUAUAGACCGUUGCAAAUUAAUAUACACUCAUAUAAGUCGAUAUUAACUAAAACAAAUCAAAACACAAUGAAAUUUUAACUGAAACGAAACUUAAAAUACUUUAUAUUAAUUCAAUAUUGAGAGGAUAGCCAAUUAUUAAGAAAAGAAAAAUUAUGAAAAUCAAUCAAAUUAUAGGUCAACUUACUUCCAUGCUUACAAAAAAAAUUGCUAAAAUUUAAAAUUGAAAAAAACCCAGAUUUCGAUUAUUAAAAAUCAUCUAUAAUAUAUAUAUAUUAUAUAUAUAAGUAUUAUACUAUAUUAUAUACCUAGUGCUGGACCAUUGAUAGACCUUGCCGGUGCUUGAAAAAGUAAUAACCCCAACCUCUGCAUCACAUAAAAUGGACAAUUCUUUAGCUUUCUUCAACAACCCAUUUCGCCUCUUUGAAAAUGUUACUUGCCUGCUAUUCAAAUUUUCAAUCUUUUUUAUUUCAAUUUUCCCUCUACCCAUCUGAAAAUUUUCUUCUUUCCUUUACUUUUUCCCGGAAAAUUUUUAAAAGAAAAGAUAAACCCCAGAUUUUUUUUUCUUAAAAUUUGAAAAGAACCGAAGGUUUUUAUAACAACAAACAGAUCAAAGAAAAUAAGGAAAAAAAUUUAGGGGAUUGUAAAAGGAUUCUUUUUUGAAGAGAAAAGAAAAUAAGUAAGUAAUGUUUAUAUAUAACAAUGGUUUUCUUAAAUGGAAAUGGAAAAUGAUAUGGAAAAAGAAAAUAUGUGACCAAAAUUAGGGUGAAAUCUUGAAAGGUGACAGAUUUGAUACUAUAUCUACCAAUUAUCCAACUAUGGAAACUCUAUUUAUUAUAGCUUUAGUUUUUUUUCUAUUUAUCUUACUUUCUCUACCUUUUUACUCUGCUGUUUUUGGUAUUUCAACUCAAAAUGGAUUUGAUUUUUGCUUUGGGUUUCUUUUUUUAAAUAUAAAAAGUGGUUUUUAAUUAUUUAUAUAUUAUUAAUGUGUUUUAACAAUUUUUGUUAGUGAAUAUUGAUUUUUUUUUCUGUGAAUUACAAUAGGAGGGCAAAACCCUAAUAACAAUACAACUAGAGCAAUUCGAAUUUAGGCCACACUUGAGACGUUGAACACAAGUAUUUUAGGAGGACAUAUAACACAUGUUUUUUUUUUUAAAAUUCAUGGCUAAAAUAAUAAAAAUAACCUCUUUAUUUUAUUGUAUUCAAAUAAUAAAAAAAAAAACCAUGAUUUUAGUCGUACCGGCCGGUGCCACCGCUCUACUGUUAUAGCACAACAAGCAACACCCUUUUCCUUUGUACAGUUCGCAUUGGCCGGAACAUGGUACACCUACUGCUGCAUGAAUAAUGUUAAAAAAUAUAAAACUUUUAACUAUCUAAAUAUUUAAUUGAAAUGUAUUGACCAAUAAAAAAAUAUUACACUAGAAAGUAAAGCUUAACAUUUAAAAUUUUUUUAGAGCAUACUUUUUCAUUUAAAAUAUAAAAAUUAAAAUAUAAUAAAAAAAACUCACUCACCUCGUUAUCAUAGAAAAAUAUUCACUCACAUCUGUUACCAUGUUGUUCAUGAGGACAAUUAGAUAUAUAUAUAUAUAUAAAGUUAUGAAAUUUAUAAAUGUUUAAAAUGCGGUUUCACACCUGUGGUUUGAGUGUCGAGAAAUCGAUACCAGAUUUUACUGCUUAAAUUUCAAUACCUCGGGAUGACUAAUUUAAAAUCAAUUUCAACAUAAGGUAUGUGGGAAAUCUUGGACCACUCUCGUCCUUUACCCCUACUGCACCCUUCUUCUAGCAACGGGCAACGCUGAAUAUCAAGACGCUCAAGCGAGAGAAGCACAUCUUUUUCUGGAAGAGAGGCGAGCUUAGGACAAUCAUAGAUGCCCAAUUGUUGAAGAGAGGUGAGGUAUUGUAAGCCCUUGGAGCACAUGAAUUCCAAAUUUUCAAAUCUACGGAUGCUGAUAUCGGUGAGAGAAGGAGGCAGCAUCAUUCCUAUAGCUUCUUCUGGAAAUGACACCACACGUGAGCAUCCUUCACCGCUGAUGUUGAGUUCUUGAAGAGAGGUGAGUCUGUUAAAUCCCCAUUCAACUAGUGAUGUAUAAAUUCUGGGUGCGUUUGAGAUUUCAAGUGAUGUGAGGUUGGUAGGGAAACCCUCUUCUGGAAAGGAUAUGUCAGCCGAACACUCCCACACUGAUAAUUCUCGAAGGCAGGUGAAGUUGUUGAUGCACUUGGGAAGGGCUCUAAAAUUUUCACAAUAAUUAAUUGAGAGAACUCUGAGAUUUGUGGUGGGCAACUCACUUCCUUCAAAUGAAACCAGAUUUGGACACCUAGAUAAUUGAAUCUCCUGAAGAUGGCUCCGCGGUAAUGAUUUAAUUUUUUCAGCACCACAAAUGUCAAUGCUUUCGGGAUCAAUGGUUUCAAGGAAGUCUUGGGCUAUGCAUUCCAACACUGGACAAUCCCAAAUAGAUAGCUUUUUAAGCAUUACGGGUAACUUGGCGUUUAAAAAUAAGCUACUUAGCUUUGAACAAUCCCUAAUUUCGAGAUGUUGAAGCCGAUUGCAUAUAUCGCCCCUUGAUGAUAACCAUAUUAGAGAUGGACAGCACCUUAUUUCCAAGUGCAGAAGAAGACAAGUGUUGCUACUCAUACUCUUAUUAUUAUUUUCUUUUUCAUCAACCAAAUAUUGCAAAUUCACGCAAUUCCCAAUCCUCAGCUCUUUUAAAGCAGGAGGAAAGUUACUCUCUGCAAAACAAACCAAGCCGGAACAGUUUUCAAGUUGUAUUCUUGUAAUCAAUGGGAAAGCAUGUAAGGCUUCUGGUAGUCUAUUGAGCCUUUCACAAUCCCCUAUGUUCAGAGAUUCAACACCUGGAAUCUUGUCAAGUUGCAAUCUCUCCUCUGUUUCCAAAGAGACCAAUCGGGGACAACCCACAAUCGUAAUAAAACGAUGCCCGACUAAUCUUAACCCAAUUUGCGAUAAAGAUCCCAACUCCUUACAACCAGAGAUGCAGAAUGUUUCGGAGUUUGCAAAUCUCAACAUUAUCCUCUCUGCUGAAAUAUUAAAAUUUGAAAUAUUUGAAAGAGACAUCUUUCAAGGAGGUAACCUUCUGUACAGACAAAGAACCUUCAUCCACCAAUUCUUCACACCCUUCAACCCUUAAUUCACACAGAAAGGGAAAACUUGAAAUUGAAACUACCAGUCUCUUACACUCAUAGAUUUCAAGUGUCUGCAAGGUUUGAAGGAUGGUUGGCAACCUUCCCAGCAAUAGAGGACAUUCUCUGAUUGAAAGAAAACGAAGGCUGGGGAAUUUCGAUACUUGCUCAUCAUCUUCACAUAGGUCCCACUCCUCCCAAUUCAGCAUAUUGUCAAAAUACAGAGACUCUAAUGAUGCAAAAGCAUUUGAUUGAUUUUCUCCAAACAACUCAGCACCAAUCUUGUGCACUUGAUCCAAACCACUAAUUGAAAGAUCUUUUAACAGCAACAACCUUCCAAUCGAUGGUAGGGAUUUGCAAUUUUUACAAUUGUGAAGCUUCAAUGACAACAUAUUUUUGAAGGAAGGAUCUGCAAUCCAAGUAGAGAAUUUUGCACCACCAUAAUUCUCAAUGACGAGUUGCUCAAGCUUUUUUGGAGGACACAGAGAGUCCAACACCCGUUCUUCAACUUCUUUAUUCCUUGAAGCAUUUUCAAACUUUUUCCUCCAAUGCAAUACCAGUCGAUCAAUUCCCUGCUUCUCAUAUAACUUGCUUUCCCCUGCAUCUUUACCAUUAACAUUCUCCAACCCAGAAAGACGGAAAUCACCUUCGAGGUUUGACAAAUAUUUCAAAUAUCUAAUAUGACAACCAUCACUUUCCGCUAUGAUAAAAUCAGAUAACCUUUGAAGAUUCUUUAGCUUAUCAAUUCUAAAAGGAAUCCUUUCUAUUGAGCUCGCACCUCUGAUAUCAAGAUAAUGUAAGUUGACAAGAUUUCCCAUCUUUGAAGGUAACCUUUGAAGCCUGUAACACCUUCUUAAUAAUAAGGUUUCUAAAUGGUAAAGAGUGCACAAAGAAUCUGGUAGGCAUUUGAUUAAUGUGCGCGAAAAAUUUAAGUAGCGAAGAUGUUUUAAAUUUUCAAAAACAUCAGGCAACUCAGUGAUUUUAUACCCACUCAAAGAAAGCAUCCUUAAGUAGCCAAGUCUUGGUAACAAAUCAACCAAAACAACAUUAGUUAAACAAGCCCCCUGAUGAUUAAUAGAAAACAUUAAGGGUAAAAAAGUACGUAAAGAAUUCACUUGAUCAAAUGCUUCAAACUUCUUCACUGUGUCAUAUCUUCCAGCAAUAUAAGAAGAAUGUCGAGUGCGAUUUGAGAACUUCCAUUUCUUAUCACCCUCUAAUUUUGAGCAUAUUUCCCCUGCAACUACUUGAGCUAAAUCAUUGAUAAGGUCAUGCAUUACCGAUCGGGACUUAUCUUUACUGGAUGUCUGAAAAAAUGACCUGGACACUAGAUCUUGAAAAUAUUGAUUUCCGAGAUCUUUAAUUUGAGGCACAGCUUUUUGUUGCAAGAGACCUUCUGCUCUCCAUAACAAGAUAAUUUCUUCUUCCUCAAAUUCAUAAUCUUUAGGAAGUAUGGAGCAAUAUGCAAAACAUCGUUUCAAGUAUGACGGAAGAUGAUGGUAGCUUAACCGCAAAGCUGGAAUUAUGCCACACUGCUCUUCUGGUAAGUUCCAUAUCUCACUCUCAUAUAUUCUUUCCCAUUUUCCAUGAUAUUUAACCGUGCGAAGCAAGCUUCCAAUGGCUUUUGCAGCCAAAGGUAAGCCACUGCACCUUCUAACAAUUUUCUCUCCAAUUUCUUUAAACUGGAGAUGUUCAUCGAAAUUUCUUGCUUUUAAUGCAUGCUGUGUAAAUAUGGAUAAACAAUCAUCAUCCGAUAGUUUAUCCAAAUGAAAAGCUUUGAGCGGAUCCACAAUAGAUGAAACAAUUUGAAGACGAGUGGUUACAAUGAUAUGGGUCCCUGUUCCAAACGGAGACCGUAAGAUGGUCCAAUCAUCAUAAUUCUCGUUCCAAAUGUCAUCUAAAACAAGCAAGAAUCUUUUCCCAGACAACUUCUCCUUCAACUUAACUUGAAGUAAAUUCAAGUCAUUCUCGUCACGAGAGUCAGGAUCGAUGGAUUUUAAAAUUGUCCUGGUUAUAUUAACUGCGUCAAAAUUAUCAGAGACGCAUACCCAGGCCUUGUGGUGGAAAGACUGGUUGAUGGUGGCAUCAUUAUAAACAAACUGAGCAAGAGUUGUUUUACCCAUCCCUCCCAUGCCGACGAUGGAAAGGACUGAAACUCCGUUGGAGUUAUCACCUUUGAGAAACUCAAUCAUUUCUGUCUUCUCCUUGUGUCUGCCAACAUACUCCACAACUCCAUCCAGUACGGAAGUUGGGUGCAGCCUAGGUUGCUUUCCCUUGGAGGUUGGAGCUUGAGACAAGAUCUCACUCAACCCCAAACUACUUCUUCGAGUAGUCAAACUAUUCAGUCUAGCAGUGAUCUCUUUCACCUUGGGAAUCAUGGAAUUCUUAAACAGGAAAGAAGUGGGAGCAAAAUUACUACUGGUACAGCAGGUAGGAAUGAGUUUCCGUACCUUGCUAGUGCUGGCUUGAGCUUGCGAUUUGUUGAGCCUGAGACGUAACUCUUCAUAAGCGAACUCAUCCAAGAUGUCAUCCACAUCGUAAGCCAAGUCCUGGAGAUCCUCCAACCAUUUCUUCACGCCCUCGUUCUUGAUCUGCUUCUCCUCUGCAUCGUCCAACACUGCUUGGAUAUCGGGCAAUAUGGACUGCCACUGCUUGAGCUGUGGGCGGAGUUGCUUAUGAUCAGCAACGAAGUUGAGCGCAGAGUCGAGCAACUUGCCCCCCAACAGCUCCAGAAACACAGACAGAGCAGCCUCUCCAAUGACAGACAUGGUGAAAUUAUGAGAAGGAAGCAGAAGGGAGAAAUGAAGAAGCCAAAUGGAAGUUGAGGAACAGAGUGGAGAUUGUGUAUAAUCAGUGAAAGUUGAAAAAAUCAGAGGAGGAGGCAGUGAGCUGAUAGUCUGAUAAAUAAAAUAAAGCCCAAUUGGCUUUUUGGGCAGUGAAACGAAUAAAGAAGGCGGAAAAGACAAUGGCUGAACCACCCACCCACAUUGUUUAUGAAUUUUGAUGCUUUUCUCUUGCUUUUCUCCAUUAUCCCAAUUUCGAAGUAAAUGAAUGUUCAGUUCCAUGGCAAUGGCAUCCAAUGCCCAUAUUUGUACUUUAAUUAACAGCCAAUAUAGCAAGCACAUGUCAGUCUUUGUUUUUGGGAAUGAAAAAAAAAAAUUCAUCCCAUUUUUUUUAAAAUUUCCAAAAUUUCAUCCCAUUUUAAUUGAAUAUUUUCUUUUAUUUUGUUGGUGAAUUUUUUUAUUAAAAUUUAAAUAUAUUUUUAAUGUUACAUUAUAAUAUUAUAUAUUUAAUUUAAUUUUAUAUAAAUUACAUUCUAUACAUAUAUGAUAAAGUAGAAAAUGAGUUGGACUUAGUCAUUUUAAUUUUAGAGUCCAAGCAUGGCUCAUUUUAAGCAAGCUUAAUUUUUUUUUUGUCUAAACUUAUAUUUCAAGCCUUAUUCUUUUUAUCUAAACCCUUUUAUAUUUUAAGCUCAUUUAGAACGAGUCUAUCUACAAAAGAAAAGCUUGUGAAAAGCGCAUAAUUAAUAAUUAGAAAUUGUCACACAUGUAAAAAUAUAAUAUAUUAUAUAUAAAUUUAAAUUUUAAAAAUACUAUUUCAUAUAUAAAUUUUAUAUUUUUGAGAAAUAAUAAUAUUUUAAAAAAGAUGGAUAAAUUUUUUUUUUCUAAUAAUUAGAAAUUAGUGAAUAAUAAUGAGUAGUUUAGUUUUUGAAGAAAAAAAAAAGAAAUAGUUUUAAUUGAGGAAAUAAUUUUUUAAGAAGUUAGUUUAAGAGUAGUGAAAUAAUUUAAUUUAUUUUAUAAAAUGUUGAAAUGAUAUAAUCAUCUCUAUAUUUAACAAAAUAAUAAUAUUAGAUUUUUCAUGCUUUUACCAAUUGAGUUUGUGUUGCUCGAUUUGAUGUACCAAAUUUAAUAAGACAUUUUAUCGUAGUAUAAAUAAUUAUCUUGUAAUUAUAUGUGUUCAAAUUAACUUAAUUUUUAAAUCCGUCACUAAUCUUUAUAUUUUUUCUCUCGUAUAAUUAUAUUUUUACAUAAUGUUUUUAUAAUAUAUGGUAUGAUCAUGAAUUAAACCUUAAUUAUAGUUAUUAAGCUUACAUUUUUUCCACUAAAGUCAAGAAAUUAAUUUUUUUAUUGAGAAAACAUUUUUAUAUUAGUUAAUCAUGAGAAAACAUUUUUAUGUGAAAGUGUGUUUAACUAAUUAUAUUAAAGAAAAGUAUAUUUGAUAAUAGGCUCAAUUUACAUAUUUAUUGUGCUUAAAUUUGAUAAAUUCUUUAAUGAGAUAUCAUUAAUUUUAGGUUUAUUAUUUGAUUUUUGAUUAGGUGCAAAAGGCAAACAUAAAAAGUAAAAAAGAGUGGGAAAUGCAAGUUGUCGCAAAAGUUUUAGGCCAUGAUCUAUCUUCUUCUUCUUUUGGUACAAUAACAUGACAAAACCUAAACAAUAAACACAACUAACGUGACUCAAACUCAAACCACACCUGAGACAGUGAACACCUUUGACUAUCAAGCUAUCAUAUAAGGUUCGGAAAAGAAAGAGAGUACUUUUAAUUUUUAAUUAGGAUAAUAUUUUAAUUUUCUAGUAUUUUAUUUUUUGAUAUAUUUUUAGAUAACACUCUAAUAUUGGAUUAGAUUAAAGAAUUUAAGUAGGAUUAGGUAUAUUCUAAAAGGGACAGCAAUUCAAUUGCUUUCUUUUCUUCUCUGUUUCUAAUUCUGUUCUUUCUUUCUCUUGCACAAUAUUGUGCCGCCACGCCACCCUCCCCCUUUUUUUUUUUCCUUUCUUUUAUUUGUUUAUUUCUUUUAUUUAAUUUUUGUUGAACCCUUUAUACUAGUAUGCUUGAUUUCAUGAGUAAUUAAACUUCCCAUCUAGCUUUUAAGUCAAGAGUCAAUUUGGGAGAGAGUUCUACGAUUCGAAAUUGUACUUUAAAACUUUUAUUUCAGUAUUAUUUCUCUGGUUUAGGAGACUGUCUCGUAAAGUUAUUUUGGCACCAAAUGAGUUCAUUGCGUUGGUUUUAAUAAAGAAUCAAUAUUAUUGAUUGUCGUAUUCGAUCUACCAAAAAACAAAUUGGCAUGUCCAAUUAAGUGGUUGAUGUAAAUAGUACUUAAACAAAUAACUACAUGGAUGGUGAGGAUGAGUAAAAACUUUUAAUAUCAUCCAUAUCUUUUAUAGGUGGUGUAUUGCUCUGGAGUAUGCACUUAAUGGGUUGGCCUAUAUGAGUGUGUAGUGAUGCUGCUUGAGUGUAAAAAAAAAAAAAGCACGGGCUUAAUUGCCAAUUUUUUUAAAGGUUUAAGGGGUCUUUUGAUGUAUUUUGAAAGUUGAAGUGCUCAAUUGAAUACAAAAAUCAUAGGUAAAGAAUAGAGAUUAUAAUAAACUCACAUCGUAAAAUAAAAUACCUCACCAUGAUAACUAUCCACAAACUUCGAGCAAGGUUGUAAAUGUUCAUCAACUAUAUACUUUCCACAUUUUGGAAAAGACCUAGCCAUAAUAAAUAACAUAUGAGCAACAUUUUCUCAAUCUCAAAAUGUAAGAAGCAAUACUGUAAUAUCCUUUGAAGUUUGUUCUAAGAACAUUAGAAUGCUAAUCAUUAGAGUUUCAACUUAAGAUUGAACACAAAAAAUAUUGAAAAGUUUCAGGUACUAGGUGUAUUUUGAAAGAGUUGCUCCUACGACAUUUUCUCACCAUUCUUUUUCUUCCAUGGAUCCAAAUGCCUGUAAAAGAAAAACAAGGAAUAAAAAAGCAUAUCUACAACUCCAACAGAAGAGGGGAACCGGAAGAACAACCUCUACUUACCCUAUCAUAAACACUGAUAACAUCACUGUUGAAGCCUUUCAAAGUAGGGAAUCUUCAUAUAAAGAAUGAUCGAUAACCCACUGUGACACAUUUAGCUUUGAAGCUUCAGAUAGCUAGCCUGUCAAAAAUGAUCAAAUAACAUAUCACAACUACCAUACAUGUGGUCUGAGCAUGAGAAAAUAAGGGAUGCUCUGAAAAUUUAGUGAUGAUCCAUCCAUCCAUAAUCACAACGAUUACGCUCAAGCGAUGCAUAAAUAAGAGAAGUGCACACAUAAACGUACAAAUACCGAGGAAAGCCAACCAAACAUCCUUCAAUAGUACAAUGAAAUGUCAAAUGUUUUUAACUAAAUCCCAUUCCCAUAUACAUAAGGCAUAACAAUUGCAGUUGAGCGAUUGCUCUAAGCCCAUGCCAUAUAGUACAAAGCAAAGGAUCCUUAAGGACGAGGACAAUAUAAGAGUUAAGCAAACAUAUACGCAAAAAAAAGCUUAGAAAUGUUGGAUAAAUGACAGCAAACAAGACACAACAAAUGAAACUUUGUUUUGCAUAAGCUCACAAAACAGGAAGUCAAAGCAAAAGAAAAAAAAAAUGAAAACAAAGAUCAGCAAGUAACCGAUGAAGCCAAUUCAAAAAUUUCAUUAAAAGGUUUGAAAUAUAUUUGUUACAAAAGUAGUAUGACAGUUACCUAACUUAUGUAACUGCUUCCAUCAGUUUUAGCAACUUCCAAUACAAAAAUAAUACAAAUUCAAAAGCUGAUUGAUUUAGCUGUACAUCUAUCAAAUUCAUAUCUUACUAACUAUGAAAUCAAGUUACAUGUCAACUUGUUCCAUUUACAAAAGGAUUACAAAAUCAAUUAAACAAAUGAAAUGCUCCCAGUCUUGUUAGAAUGCUGGUCUGCUAUGUUGGACAGCACCAUGGUCGACUGUUGCAUUGCAGUCCAUGCUUAACACUUCUCCUUGGACUGUAGGCAACAAACACCAAUCAAUUCCCUCAGAAGUCCAAACCUCAUUGCACCAAGAGGCUUUGUCAAAAUGUCAGCCAAUUGGUCAUGUGAGUUACAAUAUGCAAGACUUACAUCCUUUGCUUGCACUGCCUCUCGAACAAAAUAGAAUUUAAGUUUAAAAUGUUUUGUUUUUCCAUGAAAAACAGCAUUCUUUGAGAUAGCAAUUGCUGAUUAAUUAUCAACCAUAAUCUCAGUAGGUUCAAAAUGUUCCUCAUUCAAAUCGCAUAGCAAUUUUCUAAGCCAAAUAGCCAAGAAGGCUGACUUGACAUCAAACUGGUGAACCUUCCAGUGCUUCUGUGCAGCCAAGGCAAACAGUAAUUUGAUAGUAUCCAGCCUUGAUACUGGAGCAAAAGUCUCCUCAAAAUCAAUGACAGCCUGUUGACUAUAUCUUUUCACCACAAGCCUUGCCUUGUGCUUGUUCAAAGAGCCAUCUGCAUUGAACUUUACCUUGUAAACCCACCUGACACCAAUGACUUUUCUCUGUUCAGGUCUGUCUACUAGAUCCCAAGUAUCAUUCUUGUGGAUCAUUUCAAUUUCAGCCUCCAUAGCUUCCCUCCAGCUCUUGCUUCUAGCAGCCUCUUCAUAAUUUGAGGGUUCAAUAAUGGCCACAUUGCAUCUCUGAUAGAUGUCAGCAAUGGACCUGGUCCCUCUCACAGGAGCAUUAUCAACAUUGGCAGUACUAAGAUCACUUUCUGCCAAUUCUAAGUUGCUAUCACCUUCCACUUCUUCAAACUGACUGGUAUCUGAAUCAUCAAAGUUCCAAAACCUUGUUUCAUCAAAUUUAACAGCUGCUGUAGCCAAUAAAUAUGCCAGCAAAUAACCUCUUCUCAAGUUUGGUCCUCCUUUCUGUUGGUACAAGCACAUAACAUAUGCAGCCAAACAAUUUUAAAUGUGAAACAACAGGUUUGAGACCAUACCAUGCUUCAAAAGGGGUUUUGUCCUUCACAGCAUGUGUAGGCAGCCUAUUGAGCAAAUAAACUGAGGUAUUGACACCCUCAGCCCAAAAGAUGCCUGGAAGCUUGCUUUGGAACAGCAAACACCUUGUCAUGUUCAUCACAGUCCUGUUCUUCCUCUCACUCACUCUAUUUUGUUGGGGAGUGUAGACUGUAGUCAACUGAUGAUGAAUUCCAGCUUGCUCACACAGCUUCUGGUAUUUUUUAGACAAGUACUCUGUACCAUUGUCUAUCCUCAAGGCCUUGAUCUUGCAGCCUGCUUGAUUUUCUGCCCAAGCCUUGAACUUCACAAACAUGUCAAACACCUCUAACUUCUAUUUCAUAAAGUACACCCAACAAAAUCUGGUCAAAUCAUCAAUAAACAAAACAAAGUACUUACUGCCAUUCAGUGAAGGUGCCUUCAUUGGUCCACAGACAUCUGAGUGCACCAACUCAAGUCUGUCUCGAGGCCUCCAUGCCUGGUUUGCUGAAAAUGGUAGCCUGAUCUGCUUACCAAGCUGACACACCUCACAAACACCUUCACUUGUAUCAACCUUUACCAUAUCCUUUGUCAUGUUCAUUUUGUGCAGCAAAUCAAGUGAUUUGAGGUUAACAUGGCCAAACCUCUUGUGCCAAAGAUCAGUAUCAUCCACUGAGCUUGUAUAGGCUCUUUUCUCAAGCUGACUCACAUCCAGCAUGAAGCAUUUGUCUGCCAUAGGUGCUGUGACUAUCUCCCUACCAUAAGCAUCACUUAUAACACAAGAAUCAUUCUUGAAAACUAGAGAAUAUCCUUUCUUGACUAACUGGCCUACACUAAGCAGAUUCUGAUAAAUUUCAGGCACAUAAAACACAUCUGAGAUAAUUUUGUUACCUGAACCAGUGUGAAUCACCACAUCACCUCUGCCUUUUGCUUCAAUCAAGUUGCCAUUGCCAAUCCUGACCCUUGAGACAUAGCUCCUGUCAAGAUCCUUGAACAACCUCUCAUCAGCAGCCAUGUGGUGCGAGCAGCCACUGUCCACAAGCCAACUGCAUUUGCUGUCAACUGCAAAACAUGAAGCAGUGAACACAUGCUCCUCUUGAGCUUGUAUAUCCUCAGCAGUCUUGGCUUGUGCUGGUUGAGCUUGAGCCUUCUCAUGACUUCUACAAAUCUUCUCAUGAUGGCCAUAUUGCUUACAGCUUUUGCACUGUAUGUCUGGUCUAGUCCAGCAAAACUUCUCCAAGUGAUUAGUUUUCUUGCAAUAAAUGCAUGGUGGAAACCUCCUUCUGCCUGCUUCUCUGUUAGUUUCUUUCUUUGCUUUAUCUCUUCUCUCAAACCAAGGUUUCUUAGCUCUCUGGUUUGAGCUAGAACCUUCUCUGGUUCUUGCUUGAAAGGCUCAUUCAGGGUUCUCCUCCUGUCUGUGUCUGCUAGCUCUCCUCUGCUCGAGUGCAUAGAGAGAAUUAACCAAUUCAGACAAGGAAAUGGUUGUAAGAUCCCUUGAGUCCUCCAGUGAGGAGAUUUUUGAUCCAAACCUCUCUGGAAGAGUGGUGAUCACCUUCUCAACCACUCUACUGUCACUAAAGUCCUCUCCUAGGAGUCUUAUGUUGUUCAUAGUUGCCAUAAUUCUAUCAGAAUAUUACUUAAUAGUUUCUGACUCCUUCAUUUUUAAGUUUUCAAACUCCCUUCUCAAGUUAAUGACCUGUUGCUGCCUGGUCUUAUCCGAUCCCAUGAACUCCUCUUUCAGCCUGUCCCAUGCUUGCUUGGGAGAGUCACAGGCCAUAAUGCAAGUGAAAAUAACAUCUGACACACCAUUUUGCAAACAGGCCAUGGCUUUGUGCUUCUUGGCUCGUUCCUCACCAUGUUGCCUGAUCUGCGCAAUAGUGGGAUUUGCUCUUAAAAGUGGUGGCUCGGAAUCAUUUUCAACUGCACUCCAGAGGUCAAGUGCUUGGACAUAUGUCCUCAUCUUAACUACCCAAAUGUGGUAGUUAUCUCCAGCAAAAACUGGUGGUGGAGGAGGUGCAAAACUCAUGCUGCUGAAACUGACUUUGCAAGCACGAUACUGACUUUGUUUUGAAAACUAAAACAUAAACAACAGAGGUCCUCAAAGAUAGGAGGCUCUGAUUACCAUUUGUUGGAUAAAUGACAGCAAAUAAGACACAACAAAUGAAACUUUGUUUUGCAUAAGCUCACCAAACAGCAAGUCAAAGCAAAAGAAAACAAAAAUGAAAACAAAGAUCAGCAAGUAACCGAUGAAGCCAAUUCAAAAAUUUCAUUAAAAGCUUUGAAAUAUAUUUGUUACAAAAGUAGUAUGACAGUUACCUAACUUAUGUAACUGCUCCCAUCAGUUUUAGCAACUUCCAAUACAAAAAUAAUACAAAUUCAAAAGCUGAUUGAUUCAGCUGUACAUCUAUCAAAUUCAUAUCUUACUAACUAUGAAAUCAAGUUACAUGUCAACUUGUUCCAUUUACAAAAGGAUUACAAAAUGAAUUAAACAAAAGAAAUGCUCCCGGUCUUGUUAGAAUGCUGGUCUGCUAUGUUGGACAGCACCAUGGUCGACUGUUGCAUUGCAGUCCAUGCUUAACAAGAAAUCAGAAGCAGCCGAUGAAAACAGAACAUUCAAAUUGCUUAAUAAAUGAUGCCGAUGAAAAAUAUAUGAAUAUACGCAUAAAUUUAGUAUUGUCAUUAAAUAUCAUGAGCACUGCACAAAUUUAUCCCAAUUUAAAGAAAAAAAUUCUCUAAAUUUCCAUUUUAUUUGACAUAUCUAGAUUUGUAAUUUGAAACUUUGUUCUUAUUCACUUGAAUUAAAAUUGAUCUAGUCUGAUUUUAUCAUUAAAAAGAGCCAACAACCUAAAUCUUAAUUAAGACGAAUAAAAGCCUAAUCAUGUGGUUUUGUAAGAAAUUAACACUAAGGUAAUCUAAAAUCAAACACCUGAUGAUCUCUCGACUCUCUUAGCUUCUUGCUAGGGAAUUAGAUUACUCUCACACACUAACUAACACAUUUCCCCUAAGGUAGCUACGCUAAUUUUCUUGAAUUCCCCUCUUAAUCACAGCUCUCAUUUCUAGUGAUUUUAUCCCUACACAUUGAUCGACCAAUCAUGCUAAAUCGCUUAAUAAAAUAUCAUACUGGCUGUGUGAAAUGCUGCCAUCGGGGGCAUCCUUCCAAUCAUAAUAGAACUUCUUUGCUGAUUUUUUCUAAGGCCAUUAGAAAAGAAAAUAAAACAAGAGAACACAAUGUGGUUCAAGAAUAUUAUUCCUUAGAACAACAGGUAGAACCAAGAAUGAAAAUUACAUCAUAAAAUAAAAUACCUCACCACAAUAACCAUUCACAAACUUUGAGCAAGGUUCUAAAAGGUCAUCGACGGUAGACUUUGCAACUCCGGUACCAUUUGACUUUCAACCCCUCAUCAAAUUUUGUGGUUCUCAAAGCUGAGUGAAUGUAGAAGGCUAAAUAAAUAACAUAUUUGGAUCCUCCACUUUUUUUUAUGAAGGUUUCCUUGAAGUGCCCUAUAAGAGUAUGAUAAUGCUAAUCAUUAGAGUUUCGGAUUAUAGAUUAAACAAAAAAUGAAAAGUUUCAAGUAGCAUUGGUAUUUUGAAAGGGUUAAUUCAAGGCCAUUUUCUCACCAAUUUUUCUACCUUGAUUCCACACAAUCCACAUGAUCAAAAAUGUAAAUUCUCAUCAAGUGAAUUGAUGCAGCUCAAAAGUAGCCUUCUAAUGAUUUCGUUGUGUUAAUGCCUAAAUUGAGCUCUCUAAUGCCAUGCCGUAGUGUGUAGUGUAUCCUUCCUGUAAGGAUCAAUACCAUGUUUAUAGUGGUUAUGAAAUCUGUUGACACUGAUAUCCUUACUCAAUAACCACGAAGAUCUGUAAACUAUUACGUAAAGACUUGUUCUUCUAGAAAACCUUUGGGUAAUAUUUGACAUAGAUAUGUAAAACAGUUUAUAAAAUUUUGCAUAUAUUUAAAAGGUCAUAUCUUUUAUACUCAUCAAGGUGAAAGUAAGAGACAUGAUUUAAAUAGUUCAUUUGCACUCACUUUUAAAGGUGGAUUCUUGAGGUUUUAGCUAAAGUUAAAAAAAGCUUGAAUUCAAUUUAACAACUGGGACUCGAAGCUUGACUCAAGUUAGAUCGAGUUUCAGUUUUAAUGUAGAGCUCAAUUUUGAUAUAAAAAAUUACUUAAGUUCGUUAUAUUAGAUUCGUUUACCAAAUAAAAUGAAAAAAAAAGGGUCAAAUUCUAUUAUAAUAUAUGAUAGGAUCAUAAAUUAAAUCCUUAAUUAUAGUUAUUAAGCUUGCAUUUUUUCCACUAAUGUCAAGAAAUUAAUUUUUUAUUGGGAAACAUUUUUAUAUUAGUUAAUUAUGAGAAACCAUUUUUAUGUGAAAGUGUGUUUAACUAAUUAUAUUAUAGAAAAGUAUAUUUGAUAAUAGGCUCAAUUUACAUGUUUAUUGUGCUUAAAUUUGUUAAAUUCUUUAAUGAGAUAUCAUUAAUUUUGGGUUUAUUAUUUGAUUUUUGAUUAGGUGCAAAAGCAAACUUAGAAAGUAAAAAAGAGUCAGAAAUGCAAGUUGUCGUAAAAGUUUUGGGCCAUACCUAGAACAGUGAACAACAAACACGACUAACGUGACUCAAACCCAAACCAUGCCUCGGACAGUGAACACUCUUGAUCAUCUGGCCAUCAUAUAGAGUUCGGAAAAGAAAGAGAGUACUUUUAAUUUUUUAUUAGGAUAAUAUUUUAAUUUUCUAGCAUUUUAUCUUUUGAUAUAUUUUUAGAUAACACUUUAAUAUUGGAUUAGAUUAAAGAAUUUAAGUAGGAUUAGGUAUAUUCUAAAAGGGACAGCAAUUCAAUUGCUUUCUUUUCUUCUCUGUUUCUAAUUCUGUUCUUUCUUUCUCUGGCACAAUAUUGUGCCGCCACGCCACCCUCCCCUAUUUUUUUUCCUUUCUUUUAUUUAAUUUUUGUUGAACCCUUUAUACGAGUAUGCUUAAUUUCAUGAGUAAUUAAACUUCCCAUCUAGCUUUAAGUCGAGAGUCGUAAGAUUUGUACUUUAAAACCUUCAUUUCAAUAUUUGUUAUUUCUCUGGUUUAGAAGAUAAAUAUUAUCGUCUCAUACAAUUGUUUUGGCACUAAAUGAGAUCAUUGCUUUGGUUUUAAUAAAGAAUCAAUACUAUCAAUUGUCGUAUUCGAUCUACCAAAAAAUAUAUUGGUGUGUCCAAUUAAGUGGUUGAUGUAAAUAGUACUUAAACAAAUAACUACACGGAUGGUAAGGAUGAGUAAAAACUUUUAAUAUCAUCCAUAUCUUUUAUAGGUGGUGUAUUGCUAUGUAGUAUACACUUAAUGGGUUGGCCUAUAUGAGUGUGUAGUGAGGCCGCUUCUAUGAGAUCUUUGGCAAUCGUUAAAGCACUCAUAAAAACUAGGCACGUGCAUGACCUAUUAGCACACAAUCGCAUUGAAGAAUGAAUCAUAAAUAUAAUGUGAUAAGUGUGAAAGUUAAUUUGGAAAUUAAAUAAUUAGUUCAAAAACUUAUUUCAUCAAUUAUUUAAGUAAAUCAUGUCUCAUUUGUUAAAAAUUCUGGUUCGCAGUACAAAUGACAAUAUGAUUAUUCAAUAUAUUGAAACACUCACUUAAAAUUAUAAAUUAAAUCUUUGAAAUAUGUGGGAAAUUAUUGGAAGUUUUCAUGUAUCUCAAAGAACUACAAACAUCUCACAUUGCUAAAAAAAGAUCUGAGUCAUUAUUUAUUAAGUCAUUAUACUUCUUUGAACUUAAUAAGAAUCAAAUUGACAGAGUAGACUCGUGCCCAUUCAAGCCUUUUUGUUUUUGGGCUUAUUUUUUAUUGAAGUUUUGAGAGUCAAAGAAAAGUGAACUUGUAACACCUAUAUUUAAUCAUGCUAAAUAUAAUUUAAUCGAUUGAAGCUAUUUUUAAUUAAGUCCAAAUUCAUUGAACUAUUUUCAAACUAGUUUUAGCUAAUUCAAUCAACUUACCUUUGCUAUAUUAAGCCAAUGAAAUCCCUAUAAAUACAAUGCAUGGCAGUUUUCAAAGUUACUCAUUAGCUUUCACGUUCUCAUCUAAAUUUCUUCUGUAUUCUCUUUAGAAAAACCUUCCUCCUACAAUCUCAAUUGAGUGUUUAAUUGGUCGGCUCUUUAGAAAAGCCUUCAAGGAUAAUGAUAUUCACGCCUCAAGUCGUGAUUCUAAUUUUCUAAACCUCUGAUUUCUUAAGAGAACGUCAAAGGCAACAACCAGUCAAAUUUUAAGUUCAAUUACAUGAAUUCACAAACUUAUAGAGUUUAUUAUUAUUAUUUUAUUUUGAAUCAAAAGUUUUCAAUUCAAGCUUGAAUUAUAAGUCCAAUUUUAAUUUUGUUAUUCAAGCUUUAUCUCAAAUCAAGCUCAAGCUUUUAAAAGUGAAAUUUAUUAUUCAAGUUAAGUUUUGACUUGAUUACACGGUUAGUGUAAAUCGUACAAAUGUAAAGUAUAAUAUAAUUAUAUAAAUUUUGAUACUAUAAUAAUUUCAAUUUUAAAAUUUUAACACAACUAUGGUCUAAAAUAUCCCAUUAUCAAGAAGCUUAGAAAUUAGAAGAUGCAGAUGAAAACAGAGCAUUCAAUUUGCUGAAUAAAUGUUGCAGAGAAUUAAGCUAUAGCAAAUCAGUUGAAUAUAGCUUUUAGUGCCUGCAAAAUUGAAUACAAAAUAUAUACGAUUGAUUGCUAUUAUCAUCUUGUUCCUGAGGACAGUCAGAUACGUGGAACUAAAACAGCCAAUGUUUAAAACGGUUUCAUACCUGUGAUACAACAUAAGGUAUGUGGGAAAUCUUGGACCACUCUCGUCCUUUACCCCUAAAAGUGGACAUAAUUAAAAAGGAAAACUUGUCUGUGGUAGAAAAUGAGGGGCUUUAAUUAAAUUACAACCAACCAGGAUGAACUCUGUUUCUGGAUUGAAAUAUUGGAAUUGGUAAUCAGUGACUUAUUCACUAAAAACUAACUAUUCUGUCACCUUAUAUUCUUCCUAUAAUUUCAGGUUUAAUCCUGUUGAUUUAUACAUUCAGUCCACUGCAAUAUGAACCCAUGAAAACCACACUAAACGAAACUGACUGUUUAAGGAUCCCAUUCAUAUGAUGCAGCACUGCAAUGGGUAAUUAAACUGACUGUUUAAUCCAGUUUCUGUACACUAUGCUUCUUCAAAAUCAUGCCUAGCCGAACUCUCUGACAUUGUGGACCGCAAGCGCACUCAAGGACAUAUUGUUCUUCCCAUCUUUUACCAUGUUGAUCCCUCGGAGGUUCAGCAUCUUAGUGGGAGUAUCAAGACAUACUUUGAUGACCAUGAAUCAAAGAGGCCUGUUGAUGAAGUGAAGCGAUGGAAAACUGCCUUUGUUGAAGUCUGUAAAUUAAUUGGGUGGCAUAUAGGAGGAAAAUUCGACAAGCAAUUAUAUAGUUUCUUUUUCAUUUUCUUAUAUAUUUAACUUUCUUUUUUUUGGUUUAUUUGCUAGGCUUGAAUUCGAGUACAUUAAAGAUAUUGUUGAAUAUGUUAUAAAAAGAAGAUGACAAAUAGAGAGUCCAAAAGUGCUUCUUAAGAAUUUGUUGGAAUAGAUGAUCAAUGAAGGAUGAUUUUGAGGCCAACUGAGGAAGAAGACAAUCCUAUAUUAGGAUGAUUUUGAGGCUGAUUGAUGAAGACGACAUUUGUUUGUGAGUUUUAUGUUUUGUCUUUGGGUUUGUGCUUGUUAAUUGUUGAAUGGAUUCUCGUUCAAUAAGUUUGUAGGCGAUCCAACUUGAAAAUUAGGAUUAACACUGUGUGGUGCACAGAUUCUUGCGUGAUCGUGUCUUGCUUGUUGAUGCUUGAAAGUUGAAAGAUUCUUAUAUGCUUAUGUUAAACUUGAUGCAUUUUUAAGAUUAGGGUAGGAUGUGAUUUUUAUGUGACUAAUCUAUGUUUGAUAUUUUAAAGGUAAACUACCCGUUAGUUACUCUAAAUAAUGGUCGUUUCUAUUUUCUCACCUUAAUGGAAAUCAAUCAAAUUACAACUCAACUUACUUUUAUGCUUAAAAAAAAAUAAUCAUCCAAGAAAAUAAAUAUAUAUAAGUUUUAUAGACUGUUGCAAACUAAUAUACACUCAUAUAAGCUGAUAUUAACUAAAACAAAUCAAAACACAAUGAAAUUUCAACUGAAACGAAACUUAAACUACUUUAUAUUAAUUCAAUAUUGAGAGGAAUUCAAUAUUGAGAGGAUAGCCAAUUAUUAAGAAAAGAAAAAUAAUGAAAAUCAAUCAAAUUAUAGGUCAACUUACUUUCAUGCUUACAAAAAAAAUUGCUAAAAUUAAAAAUUGAAAAAAAAACCCAAAUUUCAAUUAUUAAAAAUCAUCUAUAAUAUAUAUAUAUAAGUAUAAUACUAUAUUAUAUACCUAGUGCUGGACCAUUGAUAGACCUUGCCGGUGCUUGAAAAAAUAAUAACCCCAACCUCUGCAUCACAUGAAAUGGACAAUUCUUUAGCUUUCUUCAACAACCCAUUUUGCCUCUUUGAAAUGUUGAGAAUAAUUCAAAAUAAUAUUGGUGGGAUGUUUAGAAAAUCUUGGUAGUAUCUUGGUAGUUUCAGAUUUUCUAGUUUGACUAAAUAAUUUGUUAGCUAUUUUUAUCUUAAGUUAGUUUUCAUGUAAGCCUAUAAAUAUAGGCAUUUAUUCUUUGUUUUUUACUCAUUCAGAAUUCAUUAAUAAGAGAGCAACUUUCCUACAUAUUAUUCUAUCUUUCUCACGUUUUAUUCUCCAACAACUUUGGCAUCGGAGCCAGGUUGGAUCCUUUAGGCAAUUGAGUGAAAGUGAGGUUUGGGUCCAUUAGGGUCUUUGGGAAACACGAGAGAAAAGAGUGAGUGUUUUUGGAAUGGCAUCAGCUGGUUUUUCUUCCUCUCAACCACUCAUACCCAUUUUCAAUGGUGAGAAAUAUGAGUGGUGGAGCAUCAAGGUGAGGACAUUGCUCAAAUCGCAAGAGCUAUGGGACUUGGUGGAGUACGGGUUCGUUGACAUACUUGAACCUGAUGAAGAAGAAGAUAGGAGGUUGAAAGAAGUCAGGAAAAAUGAUGCUAAGGCAUUGUUCAUUAUCCAGCAAGCAGUUCAUGACUCUAUUUUCUCUCGAAUUGCAGCAGCAACCACAUCGAAUGAAGCAUGGUCAAUCUUGCAGAAAGAAUAUCAAGGUGAUUCAAGAGUCAUAGUAGUGAAAUUACAAUCACUACGACGUGAUUUUGAGACCUUAAUGAUGAAGAAUGGUGAAUCAAUUGCUGAUUUUUUGUCACGAACAAGGACAAUAGUCGGUCAAUUGCGCUCCUAUGGUGAGAAAAUUUCAGACGAGACAAUUGUAGCAAAAGUCUUGCGAAGCUUAACGACAAAAUUUGAUCAUGUUGUGGCUGCUAUAGAAGAGUCCAAAGAUCUGUCAGUUCUUUCCGUUGAUGAACUGAUGGGAUCUCUUCAAUCUCAUGAGGCGAGAAUCAAUAGAUCAGCAGAAAGGAGUGAAGAGAAUAGUGAAGAUAAGGCAUUUCAAGUGAAAGGUGACAAUAACCGUUCAACAAAUAGAGGACGAGGAAGAGGAGGAUUUCGUAGAGGUCGUAGCGGUGGCUAUGGCAGAAGCAGAGGCAAAGGAAGGUAUGAUGGACAAAGGCAAUCGAAUGAGCAAGGUAACACAAAAAAUGGCAUUCAAUGUUACCAUUGCAAUAGAUAUGGGCAUGUAAAAGCUGAUCAUUGGUAUAAAGAUCAAAAAAUGAAUUUUGCAUCAGAAAGUGAGGAAGAAAACAAGCUUUUUAUGGCUUGUAUUGAUACUAACCAUAAGUCAAGUGAUUGGUGGUUUGUGGACAGCGGUUGUUCGAAUCACAUGACGGGUACCAAAUCCUGAUUCAAGGAGCUCGACGAAUCACAAAAGCUAAAGGUGCAACUUGGAAACAAAAGGGAGAUGCAAGUUGAAGGAAAAGGCACUGUGGAAAUCGUUAAUAGCCAUGGAGAAGGAAAAAUGUUGGACAGUGUUCAGUUUGUUCCUGAUUUAGGAUACAAUUUAUUGAGUGUUGGACAACUAAUGGCUGGUGGAUAUGCUGUCGUAUUUUAUGAUGGUGCAUGUAUCAUCAAAAACAAAAAAUCAGGCAAACGAGUCCAUGUCAACAUGACACCAAACAAGAUGUUUCCGUUGGAUGUUUCAAACAUGGAGAACUUUGUUCUUGCUGCAAGUACAAAGGAUGACUCGAAGCUAUGGCAUUUGAGGUAUAGUCAUCUCAAUAUUAAAGGCCUGAAAUUACUGAGUGAUAAAGGUAUGGUUCUUGGACUACCGAAAAUUGUCUCUCUUGAUUUAUGUGAGGGGUGCAUUUAUGGAAAGCAAACUAGGAAGCCAUUUCCUGUUGGAAAAGCAUGGAGAGCUACUGAAUGUUUAGAAUUAAUUCAUGUUGAUCUAUGUGGUCCUAUGCAAACCGAGUCCUUGGGUGGGAGCCGUUACUUCUUGCUGUUUACUGAUGAUUAUAGUCGCAUGAGCUGGGUGUAUUUUUUGGAAAACAAGUCAGAAACUUUUGAAAAGUUCCAGAAAUUCAAGGUUAUGGUGGAGAAUCAAAGUGGCUGCCAUAUCAAAGUUCUUCGCACAGAUCGAGGUGGAGAGUUCAUGUCCAAAGAGUUUAAUAUGUUUUGUGAGGACAGUGGCAUCCAUAGGGAGUUAACAAUUCCUUACACUCCUGAGCAGAACGGUGUCGCUGAGCGGAAGAAUCGAACUGUUGUGGAGAUGACAAGAAGCAUGUUACAAGCGAAGGGACUCUCAAAUCAGUUUUGGGCGGAAGCUGUGGCAACAUCUGUCUAUCUACUGAAUCUCUCACCAACAAGGGCUGUCAUGAAUAAAACUCCAUAUGAAGCUUGGUGUGGUAGGAAACCUAAUGUAAGUCAUUUAAGAAUUUUUGGGUGUGUUGCAUACGCUUUAUUAAAUUCUCAUGCUCGUAAAAAGCUUGAUGAAAAGUCUGAAAAAUGCAUUUUCAUUGGUUAUUGUACUCAAUCCAAAGCAUAUAGAUUGUAUAACCCUCAUAGUGGAAAAUUUACAAGUAGAAGAGAUGUAGUGUUUGAUGAAAAUGCAAGCUGGGAUAUGAGUGUAGAACAGGUACAACAGGAGAUUUCUUUUCCCAUCAAAGAUUCUAUAGAUAAAAAGGAGGAGCCUGCACCAGCAAUAUCUACAACACUUGAAGAAUCUUCUGACGAGCCAAUUCCACUAAGGAGAUCAACAAGGGUCAAAAAGCCAAAUCCGAAAUAUGCUGAUGACACUUAUGCAUCCUGCCAAUUUGCCCUAGCCGUUUCAGAUCCUCAGUAUUAUGAAGAAGCUGCUGAUAAGGAAGAAUGGAAAAAGGCAAUGAUGGAGGAGAUACAAUCCAUCGAAAAGAAUAGAACUUGGGAGAUGGUCGACUUGCCGGAAGAUAAAAAUGCAAUUGGUUUGAAGUGGGUGUUCAAGACAAAAUUCGGUGCAGAUGGAAGCAUUCAAAAGCACAAAGCUCGUCUUGUAGCGAAAGGUUAUGCACAGCAAUAUGGUAUUGAUUUCAAAGAAACUUUCUCUCCAGUAGCUCGGUUCGAAACGGUGAGGCUUGUUCUAGCAAUAGCUGCACAAUUGCAAUGGCCUGUUUACCAGUUUGAUGUCAAAUCAGCGUUCCUCAAUGGAGAUCUACAAGAGGAAGUUUACGUAACACAACCAGAAGGUUUCAUAGAGAAGGGAAAUGAAACAAAAUUUUACAAGCUGAAAAAGGCGUUGUACGGAUUGAAGCAGGCCCCUCGAGCAUGGUACAACAAGAUCGAUGGGUAUUUUUAGAAGAAAGGGUACAUGAGAAGUGAGAACGAGCCCACCUUGUACGUGAAAAAGGAAGGUAAAAAUGAUUUCAUCAUUGUUUGUCUUUACGUUGAUGAUAUCAUUUAUACUAGUUCCUCUAACUUACUUGUUGAUGAAUUUAAGUCUCAAAUGAUGAAUGAAUUUGAGAUGUCCGAUAUGGGUUUAUUGCAUUAUUUCCUUGGUCUUGAAAUUCAUCAAGCUGAUGAUGGAAUUUUUAUCUCACAAAGGAAAUAUGCCAAGGAUCUUCUCAGUAAAUUUAGUAUGCUUAAUUGCAAGCCUGCAGCUACACCCAUGAAUAUCAAUGAAAAAUUGCAGCAAGAGGAUGGAGAAGAAAUGGUAGAUGCAAGGAGGUUUAGAAGCUUGGUUGGAGGUUUAAUCUAUUUGACUCACACUAGACCCGAUAUUGCAUUUCCUGUUGGUGUUAUUUCCAGGUUUAUGCAGCAACCUUCAAAGGUUCAUUAUGGAGCAGCAAAACGAGUCUUGCGAUACAUUGCUGGAACUUCGGAGUAUGGCAUAUGGUUCUGGGGUGAUCACAUGGAGUUCUAAGAAGCAAGCUACAACAGUAUUGUCAACCUCAGAGGCUGAAUAUGUAGCAGCAACUGCAACAGCUUGUCAAGCCAUUUGGCUAAGGAGAAUGUUAACCGAUCUCCAACAAGAACAGAAAUGUGCAACUACCAUAUUUUGUGACAACAAAUCCACUAUCUCUAUGACAAAGAAUCCAACAUUUCAUAGUAGAACAAAGUACAUAGAUAUUCGUUAUCAUUUCAUUCGAGAUUUGGUAGCAAAAGAGGAGAUAUCUUUGGAAUAUUGCAACACUGAAGAGCAGCUGGCAGAUAUGUUAACAAAAGCAUUAUCAAAAGAGAAGUUUUGCUAUUUUAGAAGUUUACUUGGUGUCUGCAACUUUGAAUUAAGGGAGAGUUUUGAGAAUAAUUCAAAAUAAUAUUGGUGGGAUGUUUAGAAAAUCUUGGUAGUAUCUUGGUAGUUUCAGAUUUUCUAGUUUGACUAAAUAAUUUGUUAGCUAUUUUUAUCUUAAGUUAGUUUUCAUGUAAGCCUAUAAAAAUAGGCAUUUAUUCUUUGUUUUUUUACUCAUUCAGAAUUCAUUAAUAAGAGAGCAACUUUCCUAAAUAUUAUUCUAUCUUUCUCACUUUCUGAUGCAAAAUUCAUUUUUUGAUCUUUAUACCAACAAUCAGCUUUUACAUGCCCAUAUCUAUUGCAAUGGUAACAUUGAAUGCCAUUUUUUGUGUUACCUUGCUCAUUCGAUUGCCUUUGUCCAUCAUACCUUCCUUUGCCUCUGCUUCUGCCAUAGCCACCGCUACGACCUCUACGAAAUCCUCCUCUUCCUCGUCCUCUAUUUGUUGAACGGUUAUUGUCACCUUUCACUUGAAAUGCCUUCUCUUCACUAUUCUCUUCACUCCUUUCUGCUGAUCUAUUGAUUCUCGCCUCAUGAGAUUGAAGAGAUCCCAUCAGUUCAUCAACGGAAAGAACUGACAGAUCUUUGGACUCUUCUAUAGCAGCCACAACAUGAUCAAAUUUUGUCGUUAAGCUUCGCAAGACUUUUGCUACAAUUGUCUCGUCUGAAAUUUUCUCACCAUAGGAGCGCAAUUGACCGACUAUUGUCCUUGUUCGUGACAAAAAAUCAGCAAUUGAUUCACCAUUCUUCAUCAUUAAGGUCUCAAAAUCACGUCGUAGUGAUUGUAAUUUCACUACUAUGACUCUUGAAUCACCUUGAUAUUCUUUCUGUAAGAUUGACCAUGCUUCAUUCGAUGUGGUUGCUGCUGCAAUUCGAGAGAAACUAGAGUCAUGAACUGCUUGCUGGAUAAUGAACAAUGCCUUAGCAUCAUUUUUCUGACUUCUUUCAACCUCCUAUCUUCUUCUUCAUCAGGUUCAAGUAUGUCAACGAACCCGUACUCCACCAAGUCCCAUAGCUCUUGCGAUUUGAGCAAUGUCCUCACCUUGAUGCUCCACCACUCAUAUUUCUCACCAUUGAAAAUGGGUAUGAGUGGUUGACAGGAAGAAAACAAGCUUUUUAUGGCUUGUAUUGAUACUAACCAUAAGUCAAGUGAUUGGUGGUUUGUGGACAGCGGUUGUUCGAAUCACAUGACGGGUACCAAAUCCUGAUUCAAGGAGCUCGACGAGUCACAAAAUCUAAAGGUGCAACUUGGAAACAAAAGGGAGAUGCAAGUUGAAGGAAAAGGCACUGUGGAAAUCGUUAAUAGCCAUGGAGAAGGAAAAAUGUUGGACAGUGUUCAGUUUGUUCCUGAUUUAGGAUACAAUUUAUUGAGUGUUGGAAAACUAAUGGCUGGUGGAUAUGCUGUCGUAUUUUAUGAUGGUGCAUGUAUCAUCAAAAACAAAAAAUCAGACAAACGAGUCCAUGUCUACAUGACACCAAACAAGAUGUUUCCGUUGGAUGUUUCAAACAUGGAGAACUUUGUUCUUGCUGCAAGUACCAAGGAUGACUCGAAGCUAUGGCAUUUGAGGUAUGGUCAUCUCAAUAUUAAAGGCCUGAAAUUACUGAGUGAUAAAGGUAUGGUUCUUGGACUACCGAAAAUUGUCUCUCUUGAUUUAUGUGAGGGGUGCAUUUAUGGAAAGCAAACUAGGAAGCCAUUUCCUGUUGGAAAAGGAUGGAGAGCUACUGAAUGUUUAGAAUUAAUUCAUGCUGAUCUAUGUGGUCCUAUGCAAACCGAGUCCUUGGGUGGGAGCCGUUACUUCUUGCUGUUUACUGAUGAUUAUAGUCGCAUGAGCUGGGUGUAUUUUUUGGAAAACAAGUCAUUUAAGAAUUUUUGGGUGUGUUGCAUACGCUUUAUUAAAUUCUCAUGCUCGUAAAAAGCUUGAUGAAAAGUCUGAAAAAUGCAUUUUCAUUGGUUAUUGUACUCAAUCCAAAGCAUAUAGAUUGUAUAACCCUCAUAGUGGAAAAUUUACAAGUAGAAGAGAUGUAGUGUUUGAUGAAAAUGCAAGCUGGGAUAUGAGUGUAGAACAGGUACAACAGGAGAUUUCUUUUCCCAUUAAAGAUUCUAUAGAUAAAAAGGAGGAGCCUGCACCAGCAAUAUCUACAACACUUGAAGAAUCUUCUGACGAGCCAAUUCCACUAAGGAGAUCAACAAGGGUCAAAAAGCCAAAUCCAAAAUAUGCUGAUGACACUUAUGCAUCCUGCCAAUUUGCCCUAGCCGUUUCAGAUCCUCAGUAUUAUGAAGAAGCUGCUGAUAAGAAAGAAUGGAAAAAGGCAAUGAUGGAGGAGAUACAAUCCAUCGAAAAGAAUAGAACUUGGGAGAUGGUCGACUUGCCGGAAGAUAAAAAUGCAAUUGGUUUGAAGUGGGUGUUCAAGACAAAAUUCGGUGCAGAUGGAAGCAUUCAAAAGCACAAAGCUCGUCUUGUAGCGAAAGGUUAUGCACAGCAAUAUGGUAUUGAUUUCGAAGAAACUUUCUCUCCAGUAGCUCGGUUCGAAACGGUGAGGCUUGUUCUAGCAAUAGCUGCACAAUUGCAAUGGCCUGUUUACCAGUUUUAUGUCAAAUCAGCGUUCCUCAAUGGAGAUCUACAAGAGGAAGUUUACGUAACACAACCAGAAGGUUUCAUAGAGAAGGGAAAUGAAACAAAAGUUUACAAGCUGAAAAAGGCGUUGUACGGAUUGAAGCAGGCCCCUCGAGCAUGGUACAACAAGAUCGAUGGGUAUUUUCAGAAGAAAGGGUACAUGAGAAGUGAGAACGAGCCCACCUUGUACGUAAAAAAGGAAGGUAAAAAUGAUUUCAUCAUUGUUUGUCUUUACGUUGAUGAUAUCAUUUAUACUAGUUCCUCUAACUUACUUGUUGAUAAAUUUAAGUCUCAAAUGAUGAAUGAAUUUGAGAUGUCCGAUAUGGGUUUAUUGCAUUAUUUCCUCGGUCUUGAAAUUCAUCAAGCUGAUGAUGGAAUUUUUAUCUCACAAAGGAAAUAUGCCAAGGAUCUUCUCAGUAAAUUUAGUAUGCUUAAUUGCAAGCCUGCAGCUACACCCAUGAAUAUCAAUGAAAAAUUGCAGCAAGAGGAUGGAGAAGAAAUGGUAGAUGCAAGGAGGUUUAGAAGCUUGGUUGGAGGUUUAAUCUAUUUGACUCACACUAGACCCGAUAUUGCAUUUCCUGUUGGUGUUAUUUCCAGGUUUAUGCAGCAACCUUCAAAGGUUCAUUAUGGAGCAGCAAAACGAGUCUUGCGAUACAUUGCUGGAACUUCGGAGUAUGGCAUAUGGUUCUGGGGUGAUCACAUGGAGUUCUAAGAAGCAAGCUACAACAGUAUUGUCAACCUCAGAGGCUGAAUAUGUAGCAGCAACUGCAACAGCUUGUCAAGCCAUUUGGCUAAGGAGAAUGUUAACCGAUCUCCAACAAGAACAGAAAUGUGCAACUACCAUAUUUUGUGACAACAAAUCCACUAUCUCUAUGACAAAGAAUCCAACAUUUCAUAGUAGAGCAAAGCACAUAGAUAUUCGUUAUCAUUUCAUUCGAGAUUUGGUAGCAAAAGAGGAGAUAUAUUUGGAAUAUUGCAACACUGAAGAGCAGCUGGCAGAUAUGUUAACAAAAGCAUUAUCAAAAGUGAAGUUUUGCUAUUUUAGAAGUUUACUUGGUGUCUGCAACUUUGAAUUAAGGGGGAGUGUUGAGAAUAAUUCAAAAUAAUAUUGGUGGGAUGUUUAGAAAAUCUUGGUAGUAUCUUGGUAGUUUCAGAUUUUCUAGUUUGACUAAAUAAUUUGUUAGCUAUUUUUAUCUUAAGUUAGUUUUCAUGUAAGCCUAUAAAUAUAGGUAUUUAUUCUUUGUUUUUUACUCAUUUAGAAUUCAUUAAUAAGAGAGCAACUUUCCUACAUAUUAUUCUAUCUUUCUCACGUUUUAUUCUCCAACAACUUUGGCAUCGGAGCCAGGUUGGAUCCUUUAGGCAAUUGAGUGAAAGUGAGGUUUGGGUCCAUUAGGGUCUUUGGGAAACACGAGAGAAAAGAGUGAGUGUUUUUGGAAUGGCAUCAGCUGGUUUUUCUUCCUCUCAACCACUCAUACCCAUUUUCAAUGGUGAGAAAUAUGAGUGGUGGAGCAUCAAGGUGAGGACAUUGCUCAAAUCGCAAGAGCUAUGGGACUUGGUGGAGUACGGGUCCGUUGACAUACUUGAACCUGAUGAAGAAGAAGAUAGGAGGUUGAAAGAAGUCAGGAAAAAUGAUGCUAAGGCAUUGUUCAUUAUCCAGCAAGCAGUUCAUGACUCUAUUUUCUCUCGAAUUGCAGCAGCAACCACAUCGAAUGAAGCAUGGUCAAUCUUGCAGAAAGAAUAUCAAGGUGAUUCAAGAGUCAUAGUAGUGAAAUUACAAUCACUACGACGUGAUUUUGAAACCUUAAUGAUGAAGAAUGGUGAAUCAAUUGCUGAUUUUUUAUCACGAACAAGGACAAUAGUCGGUCAAUUGCGCUCCUAUGGUGAGAAAAUUUCAGACGAGACAAUUGUAGCAAAAGUCUUGCGAAGCUUAACGACAAAAUUUGAUCAUAUUGUGGCUGCUAUAGAAGAGUCCAAAGAUCUGUCAGUUCUUUCCGUUGAUGAACUGAUGGGAUCUCUUCAAUCUCAUGAGGCGAGAAUCAAUAGAUCAGCAGAAAGGAGUUAAGAGAAUAGUGAAGAGAAGGCAUUUCAAGUGAAAGGUGACAAUAACCGUUCAACAAAUAGAGGACGAGGAAGAGAAGGAUUUCGUAGAGGUCGUAGCGGUGGCUAUGGCAGAAGCAGAGGCAAAGGAAGGUAUGAUGGACAAAGGCAAUCGAAUGAGCAAGGUAACACAAAAAAUGGCAUUAAAUGUUACCAUUGCAAUAGAUAUGGGCAUGUAAAAGCUGAUUGUUGGUAUAAAGAUCAAAAAAUGAAUUUUGCAUCAGAAAGUGAGGAAGAAAACAAGCUUUUUAUGGCUUGUAUUGAUACUAACCAUAAGUCAAGUGAUUGGUGGUUUGUGGACAGCGGUUGUUCGAAUCACAUGACGGGUACCAAAUCCUGAUUCAAGGAGCUCGACGAGUCACAAAAGCUAAAGGUGCAACUUGGAAACAAAAGGGAGAUGCAAGUUGAAGGAAAAGGCACUGUGGAAAUCGUUAAUAGCCAUGGAGAAGGAAAAAUGUUGGACAGUGUUCAGUUUGUUCCUGAUUUAGGAUACAAUUUAUUGAGUGUUGGACAACUAAUGGCUGGUGGAUAUGCUGUCGUAUUUGAUGAUGGUGCAUGUAUCAUCAAAAACAAAAAAUCAAGCAAACGAGUCUAUGUCAACAUGACACCAAACAAGAUGUUUCCGUUGGAUGUUUCAAACAUGGAGAACUUUGUUCUUGCUGCAAGUACAAAGGAUGACUCGAAGCUAUGGCAUUUGAGGUAUGGUCAUCUCAAUAUUAAAGGCCUGAAAUUACUGAGUGAUAAAGGUAUGGUUCUUGGACUACCGAAAAUUGUCUCUCUUGCUUUAUGUGAGGGGUGCAUUUAUGGAAAGCAAACUAGGAAGCCAUUUCCUGUUGGAAAAGCAUGGAGAGCUACUGAAUGUUUAGAAUUAAUUCAUGCUGAUCUAUGUAGUCCUAUGCAAACCGAGUCCUUGGGUGGGAGCCGUUACUUCUUGUUGUUUACUGAUGAUUAUAGUCGCAUGAGCUGGGUGUAUUUUUUGGAAAACAAGUCAGAAACUUUUGAAAAGUUCUAGAAAUUCAAGGUUAUGGUGGAGAAUCAAAGUGGCUGCCAUAUCAAAGUUCUUCGCACAGAUCGAGGUGGAGAGUUCAUGUCCAAAGAGUUUAAUAUGUUUUGUGAGGACAGUGGCAUCCAUAGGGAGUUAACAAUUCCUUACACUCCUGAGCAGAACGGUGUCGCUGAGCGGAAGAAUCGAACUGUUGUGGAGAUGACAAGAAGCAUGUUACAAGCGAAGGGACUCUCAAAUCAGUUUUGGGCGGAAGCUGUGGCAACAUCUGUCUAUCUACUGAAUCUCUCACCAACAAGGGCUGUCAUGAAUAAAACUCCAUAUGAAGCUUGGUGUGGUAGGAAACCUAAUGUAAGUCAUUUAAGAAUUUUUGGGUGUGUUGCAUACGCUUUAUUAAAUUCUCAUGCUCGUAAAAAGCUUGAUGAAAAGUCUGAAAAAUGCAUUUUCAUUGGUUAUUGUACUCAAUCCAAAGCAUAUAGAUUGUAUAACCCUCAUAGUGGAAAAUUUACAAGUAGAAGAGAUGUAGUGUUUGAUGAAAAUGCAAGCUGGGAUAUGAGUGUAGAACAGGUACAACAGGAGAUUUCUUUUCCCAUCAAAGAUUCUAUAGAUAAAAAGGAAGAGCCUGCACCAGCAAUAUCUACAACACUUGAAGAAUCUUCUGACGAGCCAAUUCCACUAAGGAGAUCAACAAGGGUCAAAAAGCCAAAUCCGAAAUAUGCUGAUGACACUUAUGCAUCCUGCCAAUUUGCCCUAGCCGUUUCAGAUCCUCAGUAUUAUGAAGAAGCUGCUGAUAAGGAAGAAUGGAAAAAGGCAAUGAUGGAGGAGAUACAAUCCAUCGAAAAGAAUAGAACUUGGGAGAUGGUCGACUUGCCGGAAGAUAAAAAUGCAAUUGGUUUGAAGUGGGUGUUCAAGACAAAAUUCGGUGCAGAUGGAAGCAUUCAAAAGCACAAAGCUCGUCUUGUAGCGAAAGGUUAUGCACAGCAAUAUGGUAUUGAUUUCGAAGAAACUUUCUCUCCAGUAGCUCGGUUCGAAACGGUGAGGCUUGUUCUAGCAAUAGCUGCACAAUUGCAAUGGCCUGUUUACCAGUUUGAUGUCAAAUCAACGUUCCUCAAUGGAGAUCUACAAGAGGAAGUUUACGUAACACAACCAGAAGGUUUCAUAGAGAAGGGAAAUGAAAUAAAAGUUUACAAGCUGAAAAAGGCGUUGUACGGAUUGAAGCAGGCCCCUCGAGCAUGGUACAACAAGAUCGAUGGGUAUUUUCAGAAGAAAGGGUACAUGAGAAGUGAGAACGAGCCCACCUUGUACGUGAAAAAGGAAGGUAAAAAUGAUUUCAUCAUUGUUUGUCUUUACGUUGAUGAUAUCAUUUAUACUAGUUCCUCUAACUUACUUGUUGAUGAAUUUAAGUCUCAAAUGAUGAAUGAAUUUGAGAUGUCCGAUAUGGGUUUAUUGCAUUAUUUCCUCGGUCUUGAAAUUCAUCAAGCUGAUGAUGGAAUUUUUAUCUCACAAAGGAAAUAUGCCAAGGAUCUUCUCAGUAAAUUUAGUAUGCUUAAUUGCAAGCCUGCAGCUACACCCAUGAAUAUCAAUGAAAAAUUGCAGCAAGAGGAUGGAGAAGAAAUGGUAGAUGCAAGGAGGUUUAGAAGCUUGGUUGGAGGUUUAAUCUAUUUGACUCACACUAGACCCGAUAUUGCAUUUCCUGUUGGUGUUAUUUCCAGGUUUAUGCAACAACCUUCAAAGGUUCAUUAUGGAGCAGCAAAACGAGUCUUGCGAUACAUUGCUGGAACUUCGGAGUAUGGCAUAUGGUACUCAAAAACUUUAGAUUUCAGAUUGUGUGGGUUCACAGACAGUGAUUGGGCAAGUUCUCUAGAUGAUAGAAGAAGUGUAUCAGCAUUUGUUUUUACUCUAGGUUCUGGGGUGAUCACAUGGAGUUCUAAGAAGCAAGCUACAACAGCAUUGUCAACCUCAGAGGCUGAAUAUGUAGCAGCAACUGCAACAGCUUGUCAAGCCAUUUGGCUAAGGAGAAUGUUAACCGAUCUCCAACAAGAACAGAAAUGUGCAACUACCAUAUUUUGUGACAACAAAUCCACUAUCUCUAUGACAAAGAAUCCAACAUUUCAUAGUAGAACAAAGCACAUAGAUAUUCGUUAUCAUUUCAUUCGAGAUUUGGUAGCAAAAGAGGAGAUAUAUUUGGAAUAUUGCAACACUGAAGAGCAGCUGGCAGAUAUGUUAACAAAAGCAUUAUCAAAAGAGAAGUUUUGCUAUUUUAGAAGUUUACUUGGUGUCUGCAACUUUGAGUUAAGGGGGAGUGUUGAGAAUAAUUCAAAAUAAUAUUGGUGGGAUGUUUAGAAAAUCUUGGUAGUAUCUUGGUAGUUUCAGAUUUUCUAGUUUGACUAAAUAAUUUGUUAGCUAUUUUUAUCUUAAGUUAGUUUUCAUGUAAGCCUAUAAAUAUAGGCAUUUAUUCUUUGUUUUUUACUCAUUUAGAAUUCAUUAAUAAGAGAGCAACUUUCCUACAUAUUAUUCUAUCUUUCUCACGUUUUAUUCUCCAACAUGAAAACGUUACUUGCCUGCUAUUCAAAUUUUCAAUAUUUUUUAUUUCAAUUUUCCCUCUACCCAUCUGAAAAUUUUCUUCUUUCCUUUACUUUUCCCGGAAAUUUUUAAAAGAAAAGAUAAACCCCAGAUAUUUUUUUCUUAAAUUUUGAAAAAAACCAAAGGUUUUUAUAACAACAAACAGAUCAAAGAAAAUAAGGCAAAAAAUUUAGGGGAUUGUAAAAGGAUUCUUUUUUUAGGAGAAAAGAAAAUAAGUAAGUAAUGUUUAUAUAUAACAAUUGUUUUCUUAAAUGGAAAUGGAAAAUGAUAUGGAAAAAGAAAAUAUGUGACCAAAAUUAGGGUGAAAUCUUGAAAGGUGACAGAUUUGAUACUAUAUCUAGCAAUUAUCCAACUAUGGAAACUCUAUUUAUUAUACCUUUAGUUUUUUUUUCUAUUUAUCUUAAAUUCUCUACCUUCUUACUCUGCUGUUUUUGGCAUUUCAACUCAAAAUGGAUUUUAUCUUUGCUUUGGGUUUCUUUUUUUAAAUAUAAAAAGUGGUUUUUAAUUAUUUAUAUAUUAUUAAUGUGUUUUAACAAUUUUUGUUAGUGAAUAUUGAUUUUUUUUUUGUGAAUUAUAAUAUGAGGGUAAAGCCCUAACAACACGACUAGAGUGAUUCAAAUUUAGGCCACUCCUGAGACGUUGAACACAAGUAUUUCACGAGGACAUAUAACACAUGUUUUUUAAAUUCAUGGCUAAAAUAAUAAUAAUAACCUCUUUAUUUUAUUGUAUUCAAAUAAUAAAAUAAACCAUGGUUUUAGUCGUACCGGCCGGUGCCGCCGUUCUACUGUUAUAGCGCAACAAGCAACACCCUUUCCAUACUAAUAAAAAUUUUGGUUUGUACCGUUCGCAUUGGCCGGAACAUGGUACACCUGCUACUACAUGGAUAAUGUUAAAAAAUAUAAAACUUUUAACUAUUUUCUAUUAGACUAAAUAUUUAAUUGAAAUGUAUUGACCAAUAAAAAAAUAUUACAUUAGAAAGUAAAGUUUAACAUUUAAAAUUUUUUUUGAAGCAUACUUUUUCAUUUAAAAUAUAACAAUUAAAAUAUAAUAAAAAAACCCCACUCACCUCGUUAUCAUAGAAAAAUCUUCACUCACCCUUCAGCCUUUUUUAUUGAAAAAACACCCUCAUCCUUCGAUUUCUUUUUUUCUUCUUAAUUUUGAAUUUAUUGAAGGGUAAACUACUAAAAUAGUCAUUUUUGUUUACCUCAGGUUACAUUUUAGUCACUUACGUUAUCGUAUUGUAACAUUUUAGUCACUUAGCCGUUAAUUGCCAUUAACAGUAUAACGGUAAGCUGGCGUGGCAUGUUAAAUCAUCAUUUUAAAUAAAAAUUUUAGGUUAAAUUAUACAAUUGAUCCCUAUAUUUUUCAUUUUGAGCAAUUUAAUUUUUUCUUUUUUGUUUUUUAACUUCCUUUUUUUUCCUCAUUUUCCAUUCUCUUUUGUUUCUUCCUCUAUUUUCCUCCCUUUUCUAUUUUUUUAACAUAAAUUUUUUAUUUUUUUCAUUUGUUAAAACUAGUCCCUAUACUUUAAUUUUUUUGAACAAUUUAAUUUUUUUCCUUUUUAUUUUUAUUCACAAUUGUCUAUAAUAAGCAAAAAAAAAUUAAAAAUCUUUAUUUUGGAUUUUCAUUGAAGAUCAAUACAAAAUUUUUAACUUUCCUUUUUUUCUUUAUUUUCUAUUCUCUUCUGUUUCUCCCUCUAUUUUCCUCCUUCUCUGUUUCUUUUAACAUAGUUUUUCUAUAUUUUUCAUUUGUUAAAACUAGUCUCUAUACUUUUAUUUUGGUAUUGGGUAUUUCUUGUACGUUCUGUUUAAUCUUCCUUUUGAUUAGUUUUUAAUAUAUUUUCAACUUAGAGUAAUGAUUUUGUAUUGAUCUUCAAUGAAAACCUAGAAUAAAGAUUUUUUUAAAUCUUUUUUUGCUUGUUGUAAACAAUUGUGAAUUGGAGUUUUUGAUAUUUUAAACUUAUUGUUGAUGCUAUACAAAGGAUCCAAAAAUAGAUUAUUAUGGUGAUUUUAUAGAAUUGCUUGGACCUGAUAUUUCAAUGAAGAUUCUCAUGAUACUGGUUAACACUUCUGAUCCCACUAGAGUUAACUUGAUUUCUAGUUUUCGGCACCGAUUUGGUAAACAAAUUAAUGUCUUUGGUAGAAUUUAGCUUGGUGUUCUAUUAUAUAUUGAAAAAGAAUCGGUAUUGAUUAAUUCAAUAAGAUCGAUUUUAUUCAUCUUGCAAUGAUAAAAAACGGUCUUUGGGUUUACACAUAGAGUAUGUAAUCAAAGAUAAUUUGCUUUAACAAAUAAAGAAAUAAAAAAAAUUAAAUUGUUCAAAAAAAUAAAAGUAUAGGGACUAGUUUUAACAAAUGAAAAAUAUAAAAAAAACAACAUUAAAAGAAAUGGAGAAGGGAGGAAAAUAGAGGGAAAAGAAAAAAAGAAUGGAAAAUAAAGGGAAAAAAAGAAAAGUUAAAAGAACAUAAAAUAAAAGAAUUAAAUUGUUCAAAAUGAAAAAAUAUAGAGACCAAUUUUAUAAUUUAACCUAAAAUUUUCAUUUGAAAUGAUGAUUUAAAGUGCCACAUCAGCUUACUGUUACAGUGUUAACGGAAAUUAAUGGCUUAGUGACUAAAAUAUUACAAUACAAUAAUGUAAGUGACUAAAACGUAACAUUUCAAACAUAAGUGACUAAAAUGUAACUUGAGGCAAACAAAAAUGACUAUUUUAAUAGUUUACCAUUUAUUGAAUGAUGAGUUUUUUAUAUAAUUCAUGAAUAGUUUUAUAUUAAAAAUUUUAUUUAUAAUAAUUUAUUUGAUAUUUAUAUAUUUAUUUAUAUAAAUAUAUUAAAUAUUUUUAAAAAUAUCGAUAUAUUCGAAAUGAUACAUAAAAUAGACUAGUACCAAUACAGACCCGUUGUCAUAGAAAAGUGGUGCUUCCACCAAUGUGAUAAUGGCUACCUUGAAAACAACCAUGUGGCAUAGUUAUUUGCAAAGAAAUGGGUUAAAGCAUGCUGAGUUAGUAUUGUGGGUGACUAUAAUGUUUGAUGCUUUGUUUUCUUUGAAUAUUUUGCUUUGAUGCUUUUUAUCUGUGCUGAUCUUUGAGUGCAACUAUUGAGAUAUAUAUGGCCAUCUGAAAUUUUAUGAUUUGCUAUGCAUUGAUUGUGGUUGUUUUAUUAAUAAAUUUUUGUUUUGGAUUGAGAAAAAGAAUAAGAAAUUCGAAACACAAAAAGGAAAGUAGAGAAAGUGAACACAAUAAUAUACGUGGUUCGGGAAUAUUCCCUACAUCCACGGGCAGGACCAAAAACGAAAUUCACUACUAAAAAUUGGAGAUUACAAUGGAAUUACAUCAUAAAAAUAAAAAACCUUGCCAAUAACUAUCCACAAACUUUGAAUGGAUUCAUGGUCUGAGAAAUUCGGAAAACUAAGAUGGACAUCUUUGAGAUUGGACAGAACAAAAUAUUUUGGAAACUCUAUUGUCUUACAUGUGUUAAAUAUUUUGCUCUCUAAUGCCAUGUUGUAACGUGUACUGUAUCCCUCCAUUAAUCCUGGAAGCAUCAAACUAUCACGUAAAAGACUUGUUCUUCUGAAAAACCAUUGGUUAAUAGUACUACGAAAUGUCAAAUAUUUUUAACUAAAAUCCCAUUCUCAUAUACCAAAAUAGCUUAGAAAUUAGAAGAUGCAAAUGAAAACAGAAUAUUCAAUUUGCUGAAUAAAUGUGGCAGAGAAUUGACUAACCACUUUACUAAAUCAAAUAAGCUGAAGCAGAUGAGUUGAAGUUCACUAUUUUUCGCCAAUUUAGCCUUCAAUGCCUGCAAAAAUUGAAUACAAAAUAUAUAAGACUCAUUUCUGUCAUCAUGUUGUUAAUGAGGACAAUCAGAUAUAUAAAAAAUAAAGCUAUGAAAUUUAUAAAUGUUUAAAAUGCGUUUCACACCUGUGGUUUGAGUGUGGAGAAAUUGAUACUAGAUUUUGCUCGAGAUGUGGGAAAUCUUGGAUGACUGUAUAUAAAUUGAUACCAAAUUUAUAAAUAUAUAAAUUUCAAUACCUCGGGAAGACUGUAUUCUUAUCAAUUUGAACAUAAGGUAUGUGGGAAAUCUUGGACCACUCUCGUCCUUUACUCCUACUGCACCCUUCUUCUAGCAACGGGCAAUGCUGAAUAGAUAGAUGCUCAAGCGAGAGAAGCAUAUCUUUUUCUGGAAGAGAGGCGAGCUUAGGACAAUCAUAGAUGCUCAAUUGUUGAAGAGAGGUUAGGUGUUGUAAGCCCUUGGAGCACAUGAGUUCCAAAUUCUCAAAACUUCCAAUGAAAAUAGAUGUGAGAGAAGGAGGCAGCAUCAUUCCUAUCGCUUCUUCUGGAAAUGACACCACACGUGAGCAUCCUUCACCGCUGAUGUCGAGUUUUUGAAGAGAGGUGAGUCUGUAAAAUCCCCAUUCAACAAUUGAUGUAUAAAUUUUGGGUGCUUUUGAGAUUUCAAGUGAUGUGAGGUUGGUAGGGAAACCCUCUUCUGGAAAGGAUAUGUCAGCCGAACAAUAAGACACCUUUAAUUCUCGAAGGGAGGUGAAGUUGUUGAGGCACUUGGGAAGGGCUCUAAAAUUUUCACAAUCCUUAAUUAAGAGAAAUCUGAGAUUUGUGGUGGGCAACCCACUUUCUUCAAAUGAAACCAUAUUCGGAAACCUAUAUAAUUGAAUCUCCUGAAGAUGGCUGAGCUUGUCUAAUCCCCGCGGUAAUGAUUUAAUUUUUUCAGCACCCCAAAUACGAAUGCUUUCGAGAUCAAUGGUUUCAAGGAAGUCUUGGGCUAUGCAUUCCAACACUGGACAAACCUGAAUAAAUAGCUGUUUAAGCAUUACGGGUAACUUGGCGUUUAAAAAUAACCUACCUAGCUUUGAACAACGGAA
rnacentral:lncRNA from 1 species